AAUAAGAAGGUAAACUCUUGAUGAAAAUAUGAAUGAAAUUGCAUCUGAUGUCUUUUGAUCACAUACCGAUCAAAUUAUGCAUCACACAUUAAUAUUUCAGUUUUGUACAAUAAUACCGCAUCGGAAAAUCUGACCCCUUAUUACAAAAUUGACAUCCAGCCAUCCAGCGUUCACUACUGCUGGAAAAUAACGAGCAGGUGCAUGCUCCAUGGCACUCACAUCGAUGGAUCGGACCCACGGUAUGUUUGAUAUGAUAUAUUCACGCAUGUAUGGAUGUAUAUGUAGGAGUUGAGCGAUGGGAGGGGAGAUUAAUUUACAGCUCCCAUGUGUCAAACUUGCCGGAGACGAAGUCAUAGUGGCCGCCGACCAGCUUGAGGGUUCCAUUGCCCACAGGCCACAGCCUCCUUGACGAAGGGGCACGUUGACUGCCUCCUGUGGAAACGUAACGAACGGUUCAGAAAUAUUUCAUCUCUUGGUCAGCGAGUUAAUCCAUUCAUUCACAUGCAAAGUACGAAAUGGUAGAUGGGCAAUGGUGUAAACGUGCGAACCUUUUCCAAGACGCCGCACUGGUCCUCGAAAGGCAUCUGGGAGCACUUGGCCUUGACCUUCUUCCUCGCCGGGAAGCCGAUCCUGACCCAGUCCUCGACGAAGUGGCUGAUAGACACCAACCAAGCAGCUCCGGUCAGAAACAAAUGGAAGAAAAGUUCAUUCAGAUUCAACCCGUGUUUUCCUUAUCUACAAACUUACAAGGUGUCGUCGGCACCAUCCUUGAGGUUGAGGAGGGCCUUGAUCCCGCUGCAGCGGCUGUGGCCGAUCACCACGAUGACCUCGACCUUGAGGGCGCAGACGGCGUACUCGAUGGCCGACCCAACAUCGUUGUCCUUGUUCUUGCAGUAGCACGGGACCAUGGCGGCAAUGUUGCGGACGGUGAAGGCCCAGCGUCACCAAUGGGCAUACGCGCGAGUCAGCAAAAGCGAACACCAUUUUUUUCUAAUUGACAACAUUUCACAGUUUUGUUUGUGAUAAGCAGAUACGCUAUUAUAUGCAGGCUUUGACUGCUUUGGCCAGCCGGGUGGAACAGAUGAAUAAGCACAGAAAAAAAAAAGAAUAAGCACAAUCUGCUGAUAGCAUGAUAUGUGGAGUGCACGUUUCUGAGACAGCAUUGCAACAAAGCCUACCACUCUUGACAUUCUGUCCUGGGCCCCUUUUUAUCCAGACCGGUGGGAGAAAACCGGAAAUAAAUAAAUUUUGCUUUUGCAAAAAGGAACCGAAAACACAGAAAGGCAAGCAAAGCAAGUGGCGGCAAGGUUUUUCCGUGGCUCGCCCACACCAAAAUACCAAUUCAAAAGUUGAUGAUGACCCUUGACAGUAUAGACCCAACUAACGACUUGAUGAUCUAUCGGCCAUGACUUUUUGCGAGUUAUCUAGAAUCUAGAAUUGAUGACAGGCCCACAGUCUGCAAGUUGCUCCUCGGAUUGAUAGCAGUAUAGCACUUCCAUGGUAGGGCCUUCAUAAUUAUGCACGGAGAGCGGCAGGGCCACAGCCAUGGAUAGCUUUUAUGCCCUGUUCACGGUCCUUGUGUUGCGGCCGGUGCCAAGAUGAUGAAGCUUCCAAGAUGGCCGUCAUUAUCAAAAGAUGUUUAUGUUCAAAUGUGAUAGUGCGGAGUGAUGACUAUUUUCUACUCUCUCCGUCACCUAAUAUAAAAGCACUUUCUAGUGUCAAAAAGCUCUUAUAUUAUGGAACAGAGGGAGUAAUUAAGAAAAUAAUAGGAGAUGGCUGAGGGGACCUGAAAUUCAACACAGCUAGGUUGUUCCGUGCAUUUUUUUUAUCAAGGGAACCUCAAUAACCUAUCAUGGCAUUAUCAAGCACGCCAAUCUGGAACCUCAGAGAAGGAGAAAAUACUUAUUCUUGUACUACUUGCAAGAUUUGUAACAUCAAGUUAUCCAACUACUGCUACUCUUUAUAACAGGAAAAGCAGGAAAGAGAAGAACUAUAUUCUUUCUUAUAUCCAUCGUGUCCACAAGGCCACAAAGAGAAAAGGACCGUGACAUCUCAAUAAGCCAAAUCAUAUAUCACGACAACACACGUGGGCGAACUAUAUUCUUUCUUUACCACAGCAUGCAUGAUCCAAUUUCUUGGAGGUGCAUGAAAGAUGGGGGUCAGUCAGGAAGGGAAUCCACAAUUAUAUGUCGUAGGAGGAUUAACUGUCCCUCUUGGUUGUUGGUUUAACAGCACAUAUCCUAGUACAAGUGGCCGGCAAUGGCCCAUUCAAUUUGGACAAAGCAGCCUUUUCCAUUUCUACAAAGUACUAAACGGGCUAAAUUAACACAUAAACAAAGCACUAAACAUUGAGCACCCAGACUACACAAACACAACACUAAUAAUAAACAGGUACUUACAGAAUAAACUCAUAACACUAAAGACUAUAAUUUCUCCUUCUAAUUCUGAUGGAAACUACAAGAGUCUGCUACGUAUUUUUAUUGAUUUUUAAAUAAUAAUACAAAGUCCAAAAGAUAGCAAACAACAAGCAAAAAUAAAUAAAGAAUACAAACAAGAAAAUUGCAACAACACUGCUCAGUAGAGGCUAACAUAUACAGAUAUAUACAGUUGGGCUGAUCAUCUGAAAGACUGCACCCCCUGAGGCAGAGUCACGAAGGACUUCCUAUUGGCCCUAUGUGUCAGAAGCUUGAGUUCUUCCUUUAAGCGCCGCCUGCAAAGCAUAAAGGCUAGGGGGUACGUUGUUGAAGACAAACUCAUUCCUGGCGUUUCAUAUAGCGCAAGCCAGAUGAAUAAAUAUAUACAUAGCGAAUGGUAGAUUUAGAUGAUCUCUGAGCUUAGCAACCUGUGCUUGAAUAUCAGAAUAAUAACGCUCUAGCUUGGGAAGAUAUAGGUCCAGCACAUAUGAGUAAACCUGCAAUGGUAAAAGAAGGUGAUCUCUGGUUUCCAAAGUGAAGUCAUUACACAUGGGAGACGUGUAAUCCUCAACAAGGACUAUUUUUUCUUUGUAAAAGUUCUCUGGAAUUGAGCUGGCUCAUCAAGAGGAGCUAAAAGAAUUUUAUUAUGGUUGAGUUGGUUACAAGCUUUCCAAAGCCACUGGAUAGCAGGAAUUGUCUGAUGGGAUUUCUUCUUCUUCUUCUUCUUCUUCUUCUUCUUCUUCUUCAAUGUUGCAACAUGCAGCACACUAAUCUUCUAAUUCCUGUACACAAGUGUCUUGCAUGGCUGUUGUAGCACCCCGGUACCAACACUAUUCAGAUCUAGCCAUCUCAUGUAGACUUCACACAGAACCAAUCACAAGGACACUAAAGCGUCUCAUAAGGAACACGUCGAAACAUGGCUGUCAGGUGAAUCAGUUGAUAUCACAACACAAAUAAUGAAAUAAUCUAAAAUUACAACAACAACAACAACAACAACAACAACAACAACAACAUACAUUUGUAUACAGCAAUUAAUACAGCAAGGGUGUUUCGACCAAGAUCCAAGUCAUACAAUGGAACCAAAUAAACCUUAGAUAGGUAAGAAUACAAAUUGCCUUCAAAAGGAUAAAACAAAAUCAAGUGGCAGCCAUCCUUGCCCAACCGGCUGUUCGUGGGAGAACGAGCUAACUUCGUCAAUCACCAUACCGGUAAGUGUUUGUUAUAGCAAGUGAGUACAUGGUGUCCUCCAAAAGUCUUAUUACACUGGGUGACUGACACACUAACAAAGCAAUAUGUAUGAAAAUGGAUAAGUGGUGAAGCAGUUGCAAGCACCUAUGCAACACGCUUCAACAACCGUCUAGCGGAGAUAAGGAAUAGAGCACACAAGAACCUCCUAUGCUAAUCGUGGUGCAAUGCCACCCCACAGGUUGCGCUCAAAUUGAGAGACUACCAUAUUGCAAACAUAACAGAGUCUUGCAUUCCUCUUCGCACUAUCCACCUAGAAGAUUCCCGAAGGCUUAUAGUUGGCAAGUUUUACUACUUACUUGUUGAACUUGCACAAGCUCUAUUACUAACAAUAUUACAGGUGGGCAAGUUUUUAUAUAUUAUCAGUUGAAGUUGUUCUAUGAACUGAGAUCAAUCACCAAGUCGGCCAUAAUCGCGGGCUGGUCUUCUCGAAAGGAGUUAACCAUGCAGAGGUUCACCAACACACCUGUUAUAGGCUCCAUACAUACAUGCAUCAAAACUAGGCUACAACCCUUUACACGCAUGUAUGAAGGGCAACAUCGGUAGAUCCAAAUGACACAACAACGCUUGCUGGACGACACCAGCUGCUGUGACCCAUGACAUGUUGAGCAAGGCAGUCUCGAACGAACGGUCUUUCAUCGCUAAUACAUCUUAUUCUAGGAAGCCACCUGACGACUUGGCAUCUAAUCCAAAGUUCGGUCGCAGCUCUGUGUUGGCCUCAACGGUGAGUGGGACAUGGUCAAGACCGAUGCCCAGAACUGAGGUCAUCCGCCAGCCAAGCCACAAUUUGUGAACGACCAAGGGUUGUAUCCCCAAACCAAGGUUAACCACCUAGUUGAUCAGAAUGGAAGAAGCAAAUAUAGUACCAACACUGUGGCCCUUAGACAGUCUGCAACUUGGGAAUUGGCCGAGCAGCCCCAUAAAUCACCCACAUAUGGUUAGUGUUCUUAGUGCUGGUUCAAGACAACAAGAACUUGGGUCCUAGUGCGACCUAAGUGGAACGAAACACUUAGGCGCAAGCCAGCAGGCCUCCCACCUUCAGCCUUUCCUGACGUACUACCACAUUCAAGCUGUAUAUCUCAACGUUGAGUAAAGAGUGUAACAGAACAAUGUGAAUAUACCCCAAGAAUAGCAUAAGCAAAAAACAUGCCUCAGCAACAACCCUAAGCAUGCAUACCAUGAAACCAAGCAGGCUGAGCGAGCAACAAGAAAAGCAGGAACAGUUUAUGCUAGGAAAUGGAAGGUACAAAUAGUACCAUGGAAAUGGAGAUAAUAUGUAAGAUAUUUGGAUAGGUAUCAAUGACGCGAGACAACAUCGUGAAACUAUUGCAAAUAAACCUAUAUCAAGCAUCCAGUGUAAUUAUCAUCCUUGCAUGUUAUCCAUGGUUGGUAGAAGAGCAUGCAUUUGCGUAUCUCGCAUCAUCUCUGAGCCUUAUCCACGAAGAAGGAAACGACAUUGGGGCACAAGAAAUAGAUGCAAUCUCAUAGCUAUGGCAAAAGAUCUAGCAUGUUCAUGAUAUGCAAUGCAUCGCAUGGAAGGGAGAGACAAAGCAAAAGAUCCAGCAUGUUCAUCAUAUGCAAUCCAGCAUGUCAACCAAGUUUCUAACCAAAAUAUCGAUAUGUAAUACAAAAUAUCUUCAUUUUGAUCUAUCAUUCUGACCAAGUUUUGAAAUGUUGGUGUUUUAUUCUAUAAUCUUUGUCAAACAUAUCAAAGUUUGACUUUCACAAAAACCGAAGCACCUUAUAUUUUGGAACGAAUGGAGUACCAAAUAUCACCAAUUUCGGGCUUUUUUGAGCUUUCGAGCCGGGGUCUGGGUGAAAACAACGCCCAAUUCUAGACUGACCAUCGAGCUUUCGGGUCGGGUUGUUAAUGGCUAGGUUUAUUCUCAGUAUAUAAUUAACAAAGUAGGAGUAAAGCUAUUUCCAUCGACUAGGGCGAAACCUAGGUAAAUCAUGUUCUGAGACUAUCGGUGACAUAAGGUGACGUCCCAUGACUAGGUAAAUCCCAUAGAACUACCGUACAAGUUGUGAGGCACCAACGAAAUUAGACGAUACGCGCCAUUCCUUUUGAAAAAAGGGAAAUUUUAGUCCCAACACAUCGUCGCAAAUCACGGACUGUCAUUUUCCAAUGUCGAUGUCAUUGGUCAAGCAAAGAUCUCAAAUCUUUCAUUCCGUUUAUAGUGGUCUUAGCAAUUUCGAUUUUUUUCUGAGAAAACUAAUGUCCUUAUUAGUUCUACAAACUCUUGUGUUCUUAGGGUAGUGCGGCCUAGAACGAUUGUUUGUUCCUCACAAGAAAGUCUGAAACAACUAGCUAGUGCCACACACCAUAGGGAAAACAAAACCUUAAGAGCGAAUGUCUGAUAGGUAGUCAGUACAUCCAUAUCCAUACAUUUACCGUUUAUACAGUCUAACAGGCCAUAUGGGAGGGAUAUGCUGAAGGAAAUAUGCCCUAGAGUCAAUAAUAAAGUUGUUCUUUAUAUUUCCUGAUAUCAUGAUAAAUGUUUAUUAUUCAUGCUAGAAUUGUAUUAACCGGAAACUUAGUACAUGUGUGAAUACAUAGACAAACAGAGUGUCACUUGUAUGCCUAUACUUGACUAGCUCGUGAAUCAAAGAUGGUUAAGUUUCCUAGCCAUAGACAUGAGUUGUCAUUUGAUUAACGGGAUCACAUCAUUAGAGAAUGAUGUGAUUGACUUGACCCAUUCUGUUAGAUUAGCAUUCGAUCGUUUAGUAUAUUGCUAUUGCUUUCUUCAUGACUUAUAGAUGUUCCUAUGACUAUGAGAUUAUGCAACUCCCGAAUACCGGAGGAACACUUUGUGUGCUACCAAACGUCACAAUGUAACUGGGUGAUUAUAAAGGUGCUCUACAGGUGUCUCUGAAGGUACUUGUUGGGUUGGCAUAGAUCAAGAUUAGGAUUUGUCACUCCGAUUGUUGGAGAGGUAUCUCUGGGCCCUCUCGGUAAUGCACAUCACUAUAAGCCUUGCAAGCAAUGCAGCUAAUGAGUUAGUUGCGGGAUGAUGUAUUACGGAACGAGUAAAGAGACUUGUCGGUACCGAGAUUGAACUAGGUAUUGAGAUACCGACGAUCGAAUCUUGGGCAAGUAACAUACCGAUGACAAAGGGAACAACGUAUGUUGUUAUGCGGUUUGACCGAUAAAGAUCUUCGUAGAAUAUGUAGGAGCCAAUAUGAGCAUAGGUUCCGCUAUUGGUUAUUGACCGGAGACGUGUCUCGGUCAUGUCUACAUAGUUCUCGAACCCGUAGGGUCCGCACACUUAAAGUUCUGUGAUGAUCGGUAUUAUGAGUUUUUUUGUUUUGAUGUACCGAAGGUAGUUCGGAGUCCCGGAUAUGAUCACGAACAUGACGAGGAGUCUCGAAAUGGUCGAGACAUAAAUAUCGAUAUAUUGGAAUCCUAUAUUUGGACAUCGAAAUGGUUCCGGGUGAAAUCGGGAUUUUACCGGAGUACCGGGAGGUUACCGGAACCCCCCGGUAAUUGUAUGGGCCUUAAUGGUCCAAGUGGAGAGAGAGAGAGAGGAGGCCAGGGCAGGUCGUGCGCCCCCUCCCCCUCUUGUCCGAAUUGGACUAGGAGGGGGGGCGCCCCCCUUUCCUUCCUCUCUCUCUCCCCCUUCCUUCUCUCCUAGUCCAACUAGGGAAAGGGGGAAUCCUACUCCCGGUGGGAGUAGGACUCCUCCAGGGCGCGCCAUAGGGGCCGGCCAUCUCCCCCUCCUCCACUCCUUUAUAUACGUGGCCAGGGGGCACCCCAUAGACACACAAGUUGAUCAUUGAUCUUUUAGCCGUGUGCGGUGCCCCCCUCCACCAUAAUCCACCUCGGUCAUAUCGUAGCGGUGCUUAGGCGAAGCCCUGCGUCGGUAGCAACAUCAUCACCGUCAUCACGCCAUCGUGCUGACGGAACUCUCCCGUGAAGCUCUGCUGGAUCGGAGUUCGUGGGACAUCACCGAGUUGAACGUGUGCUCAACUCGGAGGUGCCGUGCGUUCGAUACUUGGAUCGGUCGGAUCGUGAAGACGUACGACUACAUCAACUGCUUUCUCAUAACGCUUCCGCUUACGGUCUACGAGGGUACGUGGACAAUAGUCUCCCCUCUCGUUGCUAUGCAUCACCAUGAUCUUGCAUGUGCGUAGAAAUUAUUUUUUAAAUUACUAUGUUCCCCAACAGUGGCAUCCGAGCCAGGUUUUAUGCGUAGAUGUUAUAUGCACGAGUAGAACACAAGUGAGUUGUGGGCGAUACAAGUCAUACUUCUUACCAGCAUGCCAUACUUUGAUUCGGCAGUAUUGUUGGAUGAAGCGGCCCGGACCAACAUUACGCGUACGCUUACGCGAGACUGGUUCUACCGACGUGCUUCGCACAAAGGUGGCUGGCGGGUGUCAGUUUCUCCAACUUUAGUUGAAUCGAGUGUGGCUACGCCCGGUCCUUGUGAAGGUUAAAACAACACUAACUUGACGAAAUAUCGUUGUGGUUUUCAUGCGUAGGUAAGAACGGUUCUUGCUCAGCCCGUAGCAGCCACGUAAAAUUUGCAACAACAAAGUAGAGGACGUCUAACUUGUUUUUGCAGGGCAUGUUGUGAUGUGAUAUGGUCAAGAGAUGAUGCUAAAUUUUAUUGUACGAGAUGAUCAUGUUUUUUAACCGAGUUAUCGGCAACUGGCAGGAGCCAUAUGGUUGUAAAUUUAUUGUAUGAAAUGCAAUCGCCAUGUAAUUGCUUUACUUUAUCACUAAGCGGUAGCGAUAGUCGUAGAAGCAAUAGUUGGCGAGACGACAACGAUGCUAUGACGGAGAUCAAGGUGUCGCGCCGGUGACAAUGGUGAUCAUGACGGUGCUUUGGAGAUGGAGAUCAAAGGCACAAGAUGAUGAUGGCCAUAUCAUAUCACUUAUAUUGAUUGCAUAUGAUGUUUAUCUUUUAUGCAUCUUAUUCUGCUUUGAUUGACGGUAGCAUUAUAAGAUGAUCUCUCACUAAAUUUCAAGGUACAAGUGUUCUCCCUGAGUAUGCACCGUUGCCAAAGUUCGUCGUGCCGAGACACCACGUGAUGAUCGGGUGUGAUAAGCUCUACAUUCAUAUACAACGGGUGCAAGCCAGUUUUGCACACGUAGAAUAAUCGGGUUAAACUUGACGAGCCUAUCAUAUGCAGAUAUGGCCUCGGAACACUGAGACCGAAAGGUCGAACGUGAAUCAUAUAGUAGAUAUGAUCAACAUAGUGAUGUUCACCAUUGAAAACUACUCCAUCUCACGUGAUGAUCGGACAUGGUUUAGUUGAUAUGGAUCACGUGAUCACUUAGAUGAUUAGAGGGAUGUCUAUCUAAGUGGGAGUUCUUAAGUUUGAUUAAUUGAACUUUAAUUUAUCGUGAACUUAGUCCUGGUAGUAUUAGCAUAUCUAUGUUGUAGAUCAAUAGCUCGCGUUUAGCUCCCCUGUUUUAUUUUUGAUAUGUUCCUAGAGAAAACUAAGUUGAAAGAUGUUAGUAGCAAUGAUGCGGAUUGGAUCCGUGAUCUGAGGAUUAUCCUCAUUGCUGCACAGAAGAAUUAUGUCCUUGAUGCACCGCUAGGUGACAGACCGAUUGCAGGAGCAAAUGCAGACGUUAUGAACGUUUGGGAAGCUCGAUAUGAUGACUACUUGAUAGUUUAGUGCACCAUGCUUUAUGGCUUAGAAUCGGGGCUUCAAAGACGUUUUUGAAACACCACGGAGCAUAUGAGAUGUUCCAAGAGUUGAAAUUAGUAUUUCAGACUCAUGCCCAUGUCGAAAGGUAUGAGACCUUUGACAAGUACUUUUCCUACAAGAUGGAGGAGAAUAGCUCAGCUAGUGAGCAUGUGCUCAGAAUGUCUGAGUACUACAAUCACUUGAAUCAAGUGGGAGUUAAUCUUCCAGAUAAGAUAGGGAUUGACAUAGUUCUCUAGUCACUAUCACCAAGUUACUAGAACUUCAUGAUGAACUAUAAUAUGCAAGGAAUAACGGAAAUGAUUCCCAAGCUCUUCGUGAUGCUGAAAUCGACGAAGGUAGAAAUCAAGAAAAGCAUCAAGUGUUGAUGGUUGACAAGACCACUAGUUUCAAGAAAAAGGGUAAAGGGAAGAAGAAGGGGAACUUCAGGAAGAACGGCAAACAAGUUGCUGCUCAGGAGAAGAAAUCCAAGUCUGGACCUAAGCCUGAGACUGAGUGCUUCUACUGCAAAGGGACUGGCCACUGGAAGCGGAACUGCCCCAAGUAUUAGUUGAAGAGGUAGGUUUAGGGUUUUGCGUGGGUGGUUAAUAUCCAGCCUCACGUCUCUUUAUAUAGAUGAUCAUAAUACAAUUACAUACGUAUACAAAUACGUGUACAUGUACAAUAUGCUAGACCCUAUUUUACAUGCCACCUCAAUUUGAACUACAUACAAGAUUCAGAUUGGUUCUAAAGCGGUCUAGCAUCUGUCGAGUAGCGGGUUUAGUAAAUACAUCCGCUAGCUAAUCAUCAGUUGAGAUAAACCUGACUUCCAGUUUACCAACAGCUACUCGUCCCCUCACGAAAUGGAAAUCAAUCUCAAUGUGUUUGGUCCGAGCAUGAACCACUGGAUUCGCCGUCAGGUAAGUUGCCCCUAAGUUAUCACACCACAAUAUGGGUGCGCGCUGCCGUGUGACUCCAAGUUCUGUGAGAACUGUAUCUAUCCAAAUGGCUUCAGCCGCGCCAUUGGCCAAUGCCUUAUACUCUGCCUCGGUGCUAGACCUCGAGACCGUAGGCUGCUUCUUGGAACUCCAAGGUAUAAGAUGUUGGGAAUCGUAGCAUAAUUUAAAAUUUUCCUACGCUCACCAAGAUGCAUCUAUGGAGUCUACUAGCAACGAGGGGAAAGGAGUGGAUCUACAUACCCUUGUAGAUCGCGAGCGGAAGCGUUCCAAUGAACGUGGAUGACGGAGUCGUACUCGCCGUGAUCCAAAUCACCGAUGACCGAGUGCCGAACGGACGGCACCUCCGCGUUCAACACACGUACGGUGCAGCGACGUCUCCUCCUUUCUUGAUCCAGCAAGGGGGGAGGAGAGGUUGAUGGAGAUCCAACAGCACGACGGCGUGGUGGUGGAUGUAGCGGCUCUCCGGCAAGGCUUCGCCGAGCUUCUGCGCGCGAGAGAGAGGUGUUGCAGGGGAGGAGGGAGGCGCCAAAGGCUGUAGUGUGCUGCCCUCCCUCCCCUCCCCUUUAUAUAGGCCCCCAAGGGGGGGUGCGCAGCCCUUGGAGAUGGGAUCUCCAAGGGGGGGGGCGGCGGCCAAAGGGGGAAGGGGUUGCCUUGCCCCCCAAGGCAAGGGGAAACUCCCCCCCUAGGGUUCCCAACCCUAGGCGCAUGGGGGGGAGGCCCAAAGUGGCGCCCCAGCCCAUCAGGGGCUGGUUCCCCUCCACUUUCAGCCCACGGGGCCCUCCGGGACAGGUGGCCCCACCCGGUGGACCCCCGGGACCCUUCCGGUGGUCCCGGUACAAUACCGAUAACCCCUGAAACUUUCCCGGUGGCCAAAACUGGACUUCCUAUAUAUAAUUCUUCACCUCCGGACCAUUUCGGAACCUCUCGUGACGUCCGGGAUCUCAUCCGGGACUCCGAACAACUUUCGGGUUUCCGCAUACAUAUAUCUCUACAACCCUAGCGUCACCGGACCUUAAGUGUGUAGACCCUACGGGUUCGGGAGACAUGCAGACAUGACCGAGACGCCUCUCCGGUCAAUAACCAACAGCGGGAUCUGGAUACCCAUGUUGGCUCCCACAUGUUCCACGAUGAUAUCAUCGGGUGAACCACAGUGUCGAGGAUUCAAUCAAUCCGUAUGCAAUUCCCUUUGUCAAUCGGUAUGUUACUUGCCCGAGAUUCGAUCGUCGGUAUCCCAAUACCUAGUUCAAUCUCGUUACCGGCAAGUCUCUUUACUCGUACCGCAAUGCAUGAUCCCGUGACUAACGCCUUAGUCACAUUGAGCUCAUUAUGAUGAUGCAUUACCGAGUGGGCCCAGAGAUACCUCUCCGUGUACACGGAGUGACAAAUCCCAGUCUCGAUCCGUGCCAACCCAACAGACACUUUCGGAGAUACCCGUAAUGCACCUUUAUAGUCACCCAGUUACGUUGUGACGUUUGGCACACCCAAAGCACUCCUACGGUAUCCGGGAGUUGCACGAUCUCAUGGUCUAAGGAAAAGAUACUUGACAUUGGAAAAGCUCUAGCAAACGAAACUACACGAUCUUUUAUGCUAUGCUUAAGUUGGGUCUUGUCCAUCACAUCAUUCUCCUAAUGAUGUGAUCCCGUUAUCAAUGACAUCCUAUGUCCAUAGUCAGGAAACCAUGACUAUCUGUUGAUCAACGAGCUAGUCAACUAGAGGCUUACUAGGGACAAGUUGUGGUCUAUGUAUUCACACAUGUAUUACGAUUUCCGGACAAUACAAUUAUAGCAUGAAUAAUAGACUAUUAUCAUGAACACAGAAAUAUAAUAAUAACCAUUUAUUAUUGCCUCUAGGGCAUAUUUCCAACAGUCUCCCACUUGCACUAGAGUCAAUAAUCUAGUUACAUUGUGAUGAAUCGAACACCCAUUGCGUCCUGGUGUUGAUCAUGUUUUGCCCUAGGGAGAGGUUUAGUCAACGGAUCUGCUACAUUCAGGUCCGUGUGUACUUUACAAAUAUCUAUGUCUCCAUUUUGAACACUUUCACGAAUGGAGUUGAAGCGACGCUUGAUAUGCCUGGUCUUCCUGUGAAACCUGGGCUCCUUCGCAAGGGCAAUAGCUCCAGUGUUGUCACAGAAGAGAGUCAUUGGGCCCGACGCAUUGGGAAUCACCCCUAGGUCGGUAAUGAGCUCCUUCAUCCAGACUGCUUCCUGUGCUGCCUCCGAGGCUGCCAUGUAUUCCGCUUCACAUGUAGAUCCCGCCACGACGCUUUGCUUGCAACUGCACCAGCUUACUGCUCCUCUAUUCAAAAUAUACACGUAUCCGGUCUGUGACUUUGAGUCAUCCGGAUCUGUGUCGAAGCUAGCGUCGACGUAACCCUUUACGACGAGCUCUUCGUCACCUCCAUAGACGAGAAACAUAUCCUUAGUCCUCUUCAGGUACUUCAGGAUAUUCUUGACCGCUGUCCAGUGUUCCUUGCCGGGAUUACUUUGGUACCUUCCUACCAAACUUACGGCAAGGUUUACAUCAGGUCUGGUACACAGCAUGGCAUACAUAAUAUACCCUAUGGCCGAGGCAUAGGGGAUGACACUCAUCUCUUCUAUAUCUUCUGCCGUGGUCGGGCAUUGAGCCGUGCUCAAUUGCACACCUUGCAAUACAGGCAAGAACCCCUUCUUGGACUGAUCCAUACUGAACUUCUUCAAUAUUUUGUCAAGGUAUGUACUCUGUGAAAGACCAAUGAGGCGUCUUGAUCUAUCUCUAUAGAUCUUGAUGCCUAAUAUAUAAGCAGCUUCUCCAAGGUCCUUCAUUGAAAAACAUUUAUUCAAAUAGGCCUUUAUACUUUCCAAGAAUUCUAUAUCAUUUCCCAUCAAUAAUAUGUCAUCCACAUAUAAUAUGAGAAAUGCUACAGAGCUCCCACUCACUUUCUUGUAAACACAGGCUUCUCCAUAAGUCUGUGUAAACCCAAACGCUUUGAUCAUCUCAUCAAAGCGAACGUUCCAAUUCCGAGAUGCUUGCACCAGCCCAUAGAUUGAGCGCUGGAGCUUGCAUACUUUGUUAGCAUUCUUAGGAUCGACAAAACCUUCCGGCUGCAUCAUAUACAACUCUUCCUUAAGGAAGCCGUUAAGGAAUGCCGUUUUGACGUCCAUCUGCCAUAUCUCAUAAUCAUAGUAUGCGGCAAUUGCUAACAUGAUUCGGACGGACUUCAGCUUCGCUACGGGUGAGAAAGUCUCAUCGUAGUCAACCCCUUGAACUUGUCGAUAACCCUUAGCGACAAGUCGAGCUUUGUAAAUGGUCACAUUACCAUCUGCGUCCGUCUUCUUCUUAAAGAUCCAUUUGUUUUCUAUGGCUCGCCGCUCAUCGGGCAAGUCAGUCAAAGUCCAUACUUUGUUUUCAUACAUGGAUUCUAUCUCGGAUUUCAUGGCUUCUAGCCAUUUGUCGGAAUCUGGGCCCGCCAUCGCUUCUUCAUAGUUCGAAGGUUCACCGUUGUCUAACAACAUGAUUUCCAGGACAGGGUUGCCGUACCACUCUGGUGCGGAACGUGUCCUUGUGGACCUACGAAGUUCAGUAACUUGAUCUGAAGCUUCAUGAUCAUCAUCAUUAACUUCCUCCCCAGUCGGUGUAGGCACCACAGGAACAUUUUCCCGCGCUGCGCUACUUUCCGGUUCGGAAGGGGUGACUAUCACCUCAUCAAGUUCCACUUUCCUCCCACUCAAUUCUUUCGAGAGAAACUCCUUCUCUAGAAAGGGCCCGUUCUUGGCAACGAAGAUCUUGCCUUCGGAUCUGAGGUAGAAGGUAUACCCAAUAGUUUCCUUAGGGUAUCCUAUGAAGACGCAUUUUUCCGAUUUGGGUUCGAGCCUUUCAGGUUGAAGUUUCUUGACAUAAGCAUCGCAUCCCCAAACUUUUAGAAACGACAGCUUAGGUUUCUUCCCAAACCAUAAUUCAUACGGUGUCGUCUCAACGGAUUUAGACGGUGCCCUAUUUAAAGUGAAUGCGGCAGUCUCUAAAGCAUAACCCCAAAAUGAGAGCGGUAAAUCGGUAAGAGACAUCAUAGAUCGCACCAUAUCCAAUAGAGUGCGAUUACGACGUUCGGACACACCAUUUCUCUGAGGUGUUCCAGGCGGCGUGAGUUGUGAAACUAUUCCACAUUUCCUUAAGUGUGUACCAAAUUCGUGACUUAAAUAUUCUCCACCACGAUCUGAUCGUAAGAAUUUUAUUUUCCUGUCACGUUGAUUCUCGACUUCACUCUGAAAUUCCUUGAACUUUUCAAAGGUUUCAGACUUGUGUUUCAUUAGGUAGACAUACCCAUAUCUACUUAAAUCAUCAGUGAGAGUGAGAACAUAAGGAUAUCCUCCGCGAGCCUCAACGCUCAUUGGACCGCACACAUCGGUAUGUAUGAUUUCCAAUAAGUUGGUCGCUCGCUCCAUUGUUCCGGAGAACGGAGUCUUGGUCAUCUUACCCAUGAGGCAUGGUUCGCACGUGUCAAAUGAUUCGUAAUCAAGAGACUCCAAAAGUCCAUCUGCAUGGAGCUUCUUCAUGCGCUUGACACCAAUGUGACCAAGGCGGCAGUGCCACAAGUAUGUGGGACUAUCGUUAUCAACUUUACAUCUUUUGGUAUUCACACUAUGAACAUGUGUAGCAUCACGUUCGAGAUUCAUCAAGAAUAAACCAUUGACCAGCGGGGCAUGACCAUAAAACAUAUCUCUCAAAUAAAUAGAACAACCAUUAUUCUCAGAUUUAAAUGAGUAGCCAUCUCGAAUUAAACGAGAUCCAGAUACAAUGUUCAUGCUCAAAGCUGGCACUAAAUAACAAUUAUUGAGGUUUAUAACUAAUCCCGUGGGUAGAUGCAGAGGUAGCGUGCCGACGGCGAUCACAUCGACCUUGGAACCAUUCCCGACGUGCAUCGUCACCUCGUCUUUUGCCAGUCUCCGUUUAUUCCGUAGUUCCUGAUUUGAGUUACAAAUAUGAGCAACCGCACCGGUAUCAAAUACCCAGGAGCUACUGCGAGUACUGGUAAGGUACACAUCAAUUACUUGUAUAUCACAUAUACCUUGGGUGUUGCCGGCCUUCUUCUUGUCCGCUAAAUAUUUGGGGCAGUUCCGCUUCCAAUGACCACUUCCCUUGCAAUAAAAGCACUCAGUCUCGGGCUUGGGUCCAUUCUUUGACUUCUUCCCGGUAACUGGCUUACCGGGCGCGGCAACUCCCUUGCCGUCCUUCUUGAAGUUCUUCUUACCCUUGCCCUUCUUGAACUUAGUGGUUUUAUUCACCAUCAACACUUGAUGUUGUUUUCUGAUCUCUACCUCAGCUGAUUUCAGCAUUGAAUACACCUCGGGAAUGGUCUUUUCCAUCCCCUGCAUAUUGUAGUUCAUCACAAAGCUCUUGUAGCUUGGUGGAAGCGACUGGAGGAUUCUGUCAAUGACCGCGUCAUCCGGGAGAUUAACUCCCAGCUGAGACAAGCGGUUGUGCAACCCAGACAUUCUGAGUAUGUGCUCACUAACAGAACUGUUCUCCUCCAUUUUACAGCUGAAGAACUUGUCGGAGACAUCAUAUCUCUCGACCCGGGCAUGAGCUUGAAAAACCAGUUUCAGCUCCUCGAACAUCUCAUAUGCUCCAUGUUUCUCAAAACGCUUUUGGAGACCCGGUUCUAAGCUGUAAAGCAUGCCGCACUGAACGAGGGAGUAAUCAUCAGCACGCUGCUGCCAAGCGUUCAUAACGUCUUGGUUCUCAGGGAUUGGUGCUUCACCUAGCGGUGCUUCUAAGACAUAAUCUUUCUUGGCUGCUAUGAGGAUGAUCCUCAGGUUCCGGUCCCAGUCCGUAUAGUUGCUGCCAUCAUCUUUCAGCUUGGUUUUCUCUAGGAACGCGUUGAAAUUGAGGACAACGUGGGCCAUUUGAUCUACAAUACAUAGUGUAAAGAUUUUUAGACUAAGUUCAUGAUAAUUAAGUUCAUAUAAUCAAAUUAUUUAAUGAACUCCCACUCAGAUAGACAUCCCUCUAGUUAUCUAAGUGAAACAUGAUCCGAACUCAACUAGGCCGUGUCCGAUCAUCACGUGAGACGGACUAGUCAAGAUCGGUGAACAUCUCCAUGUUGAUCGUAUCUUCUAUACGACUCAUGCUCGACCUUUCGGUCCUCCGUGUUCCGAGGCCAUGUCUGUACAUGCUAGGCUCGUCAAGUCAACCUAAGUGUAUUGCGUGUGUUCCGAGGCCAUGUCUGUACAUGCUAGGCUCGUCAACACCCGUUGUAUGCGAACGUAAGAAUCUAUCACACCCGAUCAUCAGGUGGUGCUUCGAAACGACGAACCUUCGCAACGGUGCACAGUUAGGGUGAACACUUUCUUGAAAUUAUUAGAAGGGAUCAUCCUACUUGCUACCGUCGUUCUAAGCAAAUAAGAUGCAAAAACACGAUAAACAUCACAUGCAAUCGAAUAGUGACAUGAUAUGGCCAAUAUCAUCAUGCUCCUUUGAUCUCCAUCUUCGGGGCACCAUGAUCAUCUUCGUCACCGGCAUGACACCAUGAUCUCCAUCAUCAUGAUCUCCAUCAUUGUGUCUUCAUGAAGUUGUCACGCCAACGAUUACUUCUACUUCUAUGGCUAACCGUUUAGCAACAAAGUAAAGUAAAUUACAUGGCGUUAUUCAAAUGACACGCAGGUCAUGCAAAAUAAUAAAGACAACUCCUAUGGCUCCUGCCGGUUGUCAUACUCAUCGACAUGCAAGUCGUGAUUCCUAUUACAAGAAUAUGAUCAAUCUCAUAUAUCACAUAUAUCAUUCAUCACAUCUUCUGGCCAUAUCAUAUCACAUAUAUCACUUGCUGCAAAAACAAGUUAGACGUCCUCUAAUUGUUGUUGCAAGUUUUUUUUUUACGUGGUUUGUAGGUUUCUAGCAAGAACGAUUUCUUACCUACGUAUGACCACAACGUGAUUUGCCAAUUUCUAUUUACCCUUCAUAAGGACCCUUUUCAUCGAAUCCGUUCCGACUAAAGUAGGAGAGACAGACACCCGCUAGCCACCUUAUGCAACUAGUGCAUGUCAGUCGGUGGAACCUGUCUCACGUAAGCGUACGUGUAAGGUCGGUCCGGGCCGCUUCAUCCUACAAUGCCGCCGAAACAAGAAACGACUAGUAGCGGCAAGAAGAAUUGGCAACAUCAACGCCCACAACUUCUUUGUGUUCUACUCGUGCAUAGUAACUACGCAUAGGCCUGGCUCAUGAUGCCACUGUUGGGAAUCGUAGCAUAAUUUAAAAUUUUCCUACGCUCACCAAGAUGCAUCUAUGGAGUCUACUAGCAACGAGGGGAAAGGAGUGGAUCUACAUACCCUUGUAGAUCGCGAGCGGAAGCGUUCCAAUAAAUGUGGAUGACGGAGUCGUACUCGCCGUGAUCCAAAUCACCGAUGACCGAGUGCCGAACGGACGGCACCUCCGCGUUCAACACACGUACGGUGCAGCGACGUCUCCUCCUUUCUUGAUCCAGCAAGGGGGGAGGAGAGGUUGAUGGAGUUCCAACAGCACGACGGCGUGGUGGUGGAUGUAGCGGCUCUCCGGCAGGGCUUCGUCGAGCUUCUACGCGAGAGAGAGAGGUGUUGCAGGGGAGGAGGGAGGCGCCAAAGGCUGUAGUAUGCCGCCCUCCCUCCCCCCCUUUAUAUAGGCCCCCAAGGGGGGGUGCGCAGCCCUUGGAGAUGGGAUCUCCAAGGGGGGGGGGCGGCGGCCAAGGGGGAAGGGGUUGCCUUGCCCCCCAAGGCAAGGGGAAACUCCCCCCCCCUAGGGUUCCCAACCCUAGGCGCAUGGGGGGAGGCCCAAAGUGGCGCCCCAGCCCAUUAGGGGCUGGUUCCCCUCCACUUUCAGCCCACGGGGCCCUCCGGGACAGGUGGCCCCACCCGGUGGACCCCCGGGACCCUUCCGGUGGUCCCGGUACAAUACCGAUAACCCCCGAAACUUUCCCGGUGGCCAAAACUGGACUUCCCAUAUAUAAUUCUUCACCUCCGGACCAUUCCGGAACCUCUCGUGACGUCCGGGAUCUCAUCCGGGACUCCGAACAACUUUCGGGUUUCCGCAUACAUAUAUCUCUACAACCCUAGCGUCACCGGACCUUAAGUGUGUAGACCCUACGGGUUCGGGAGACAUGCAGACAUGACCGAGACGCCUCUCCGGUCAAUAACCAACAGCGGGAUCUGGAUACCCAUGUUGGCUCCCACAUGUUCCACGAUGAUAUCAUCGGGUGAACCACGGUGUCGAGGAUUCAAUCAAUCCGUAUGCAAUUCCCUUUGUCAAUCGGUAUGUUACUUGCCCGAGAUUCGAUCGUCGGUAUCCCAAUACCUUGUUCAAUCUCGUUACCGGCAAGUCUCUUUACUCGUACCGCAAUGCAUGAUCCCGUGACUAACGCCUUAGUCACAUUUAGCUCAUUAUGAUGAUGCAUUACCGAGUGGGCCCAGAGAUACCUCUCCGUUUACACGGAGUGACAAAUCCCAGUCUCGAUCCGUGCCAACCCAACAGACACUUUCGGAGAUACCCGUAAUGCACCUUUAUAGUCACCCAGUUACGUUGUGACGUUUGGCACACCCAAAGCACUCCUACGGUAUCCGGGAGUUGCACGAUCUCAUGGUCUAAGGAAAAGAUACUUGACAUUGGAAAAGCUCUAGCAAACGAAACUACACGAUCUUUUAUGCUAUGCUUAAGUUGGGUCUUGUCCAUCACAUCAUUCUCCUAAUGAUGUGAUCCCGUUAUCAAUGACAUCCUAUGUCCAUAGUCAGGAAACCAUGACUAUCUGUUGAUCAACGAGCUAGUCAACUAGAGGCUUACUAGGGACAGGUUGUGGUCUAUGUAUUCACACAUGUAUUACGAUUUCCGGACAAUACAAUUAUAGCAUGAAUAAUAGACUAUUAUCAUGAACACAGAAAUAUAAUAAUAACCAUUUAUUAUUGCCUCUAGGGCAUAUUUCCAACAUAAGAUUGGGUCCAACAAAUAUAGCAAAGCCACCAGUAGAACGCCUGUCAUCAACACAGCCUGCCCAGUCUGCAUCGGUGAAUAUACUGACUCCAGUAAAUCUGGACUUACGAAUCCGUAGUCCCAUGUCUAGCGUACCUUUGACAUACCUCAGAAUACGCUUAACUGCUUCCCAAUGAACCUCCGUAGGCUGAGACAGGAACUGGCAUACUUUGUUCACGGCAAAGGAGAUAUCUGGACGAGUGAUUGUCAGAUACUGAAGUGCUCCAACUACACUGCGAUACCUGAAAGAGUCGUCAGUACUCAGCAAUGCACCACUGUGACGCGAAAGGCUCUCGGAUGUAGCAAGUGGAGUGGAAGUGGACUUGCAGUUCUCCAUGUUGACGCGAUGAAGGAGAUCAAGUGCAUACUUCUUCUGCGUCAAUGUCAUGCCCCCUGAAUGGAAGGACGCUUCCAAACCAAGGAAGUACUCCAACCGGCCCAAGUCUUUGAUUGGAAAACUCGCAGACAAGGACUGCACAAGGCGAUCCACCGCAGUAGGUGUAGAACCAGCAAUCACAAUAUCAUCAACAUACACCAGCAUGUAUAUCUGAAUAGCACCAUGUGAAAAGAUGAACAGAGACGCAUCUGCCUUGGAGGGAACAAAACCAAGAUGUGAGAGCCGUUGACUCAACCAAGCAUACCAGGCACGCGGCGACUGUUUGAGCCCGUAGAUGGACCUGUGGAGUUUGCAGACAUGAGAGGGAUAACGAGCAUCCUCAAAACCAGGGGGCUGCUGCAUGUAGACAUCUUCGGCCAGAAAACCAAGGAGAAAGGCAUUACUCACAUCAAUCUGUCGAAGACUCCACCCGCGGGAGACAGCGAGAGAGAGGACCAGACGAACCAUGGCAGGCUUCACCACGGGGCUGAAAGUAUCUCCAUAGUCGAUCCCUUGCUGUUGAGUAAAACCACGAGCAACAAGGCAAGCUUUGUGCUUGUCAACAGAGCCAUCCGGACGAUGCUUGGUCUUAAAGAUCCAUUUGGAGCUCACAACAUUAACACCAGCAGGCCGAGGCACCAACACCCAUGUGUUCGUGUGACAAAGGGCAGCAAAUUCCGCAGACAUGGCGGCACGCCAAGCCGGUUCACCAAGAGCAUCACGAUGAGAAGUGGGUGCGGCAAAGAAUGCACGCCGACGAGUGUCGUACCGCACCGUGCCAUCCGUGUAUGUCUUGGCCUUACGCGUAUGAUCACGGUGACGAGUGACCAUAGUGUGCCCGGGAGCUACAUCGUCGGUAGAUGGCGGCGGCGACGACGGGAACCCGACCAAUGGUGUCGCGGCUGAACCAUUUUCAGCAACAGGCGACACGGGCCGGGGAGACACGUCGGGCUGGGCCGAACCAGACGACGAGGGGAAGCCAGGCGGGGACGGCAGCCCAGAGGAUGCGACUGGCGACCCGGCGAUGCCCGAGGCAGGCGAGGCGGGCUGGGCCGACCCAGGCGAGACAGGAGACUCAACGGGCGACCCAGUCGGGCCCGCGGUCGUGUCAGCGGGCGAGGCCGAUGGGUCCACAGCCGUGCCAGGGGGCGAGGCCAUCGAGGCAGCCUCAGGAGACGCAGCGGGCGACCCAGUCGGGCCAUGCACGUCGAUCACGCCGGCGGAUGCAGGUGCGGCGACGGUUUCCUGGGAAUAAAUUAGAGCAGCAUCUGCAGAAAACAGGUCAGGUGACAAAUAUGACAGGUCGUAUUUCGGCACAUGGACAUCCGAAACCGGUUCAUUAGAUGGAAAAGUGAGGGCGUGCUCAAUAGAAGCAAUAUCAACCGAGACAGCCGGGCUGGAGUAAGGGAAAACCGACUCGUCGAAAACAACAUCACGAGAAAUGUAGAUCCUACCCGAGGUGCGAUCAAGACACUUGUAGCCCCUAUGCAGAGGACUAUAACCAAGGAAAACACACAUCUUGGAGCAGAACUCCAGCUUGUGAUCAUUAUACUUGCGGAGACUAGGCCAACAAGCACACCCAAAAAUCCUAAGAGAGGAAUAGUUGGGCUGAACAUGAAAUAGACGGAACAGGGGCGUUUCCUUGUUGAGAACCGGAGUGGGCAUACGGUUGAUGAGAUAACAUGCCGUAUGAAAGGCCUCAUCCCAAAAUCGGAGUGGGAGAGACGAAUGCGCCAGUAAGGCGAGGCCGGCCUCGACCAAGUGACGGUGUUUGCGCUCGGCAAUACCGUUCUGCUGAGACGUGUGUGGACACGAAACACGGUGGGAGAUGCCCGUGCGUUGAAAGUAGCGAUGAAGCUUGUGGUAUUCACCACCCCAGUCGGACUGAACGGCCUUCAUUUUGCAAUCCAAAAGGAGUUCGACAUGAGCCUGAAAGUUAUAUAAGACUUGCUCAACAUCAGACUUAUGUUUAAGCAAAUAAAUCCAAGUGAAGCGCGUGUAGUCAUCAACAAAACUAACAUAAUACUUGUACCCUCCCGAAGACGCAAUAGCGGGACCCCAAACAUCAUAAUGAAUUAAUUCAAGAGGUACAGUAGUGACAUGAUAAGAAAUAGAAUAUGGUAGUUGAUGACUCUUAGCACGCUGACAUGCAUCACACACUAAUGGUGAAUUAUUUGAACGAGAGCAAGGAAGGUCAUGGCUCCGAACAAUGGAGGUGACCACAUUAUUGGUAGGAUGACCUAGACGUUGAUGCCAUUGCGACGACGAAACACGAACACUAGAUGAAGCAUGGCGAGAUGACGAGGACGACGCACGAGCAAAAGGAAUCGGGUAGACCCCCUGCGACUGCUACCUUGAAGAAUGACGCGCCUGGUUGCUUUGUCCUUAACAAAGAAAAGACGACGGUAAAACUUAACAAACACGUCAUUAUCACAAACAAGAAGGUAGACAGAAAGGAGAUGCUCUCUGAUGUGUGGAACAUGAAGGAUGUUGCGCAGUUUAAGAGAUGAACCGGGUAAACGGGAAUGACCAAUGUGUGAAAAUAGACAAACCUGCACCAUUGGCCACCUGAACCUGGUCCUUGCCACCAUAGUGCUCAUGAACCUGGAGGCGUUCCAGAUCACUCGUCAGGUGAUCCGUAGCCCCGGUGUCCAGUACCCAAGGAUAGUCAACGGUGUUGGUGGAGGCCGAGUUGGCGGAGCGAGCGUUGUGGUCCUGGUCAUAGCGCUUGCGACACUCAUCGGCCUCAUGCCCCCAGUUUUUGCAAAUUUGACACCGGGGGCGCCACCGAUUGUUGCGACGGCCACCACCUCCGUUGUUGCCGUCGUUACCCCCACCACUUUGCCGACCAUUGCCAGCAUAGGAGGGGUUGUGGUCGCGGCCACCGUUGGGUCCGCCAUUGCCGCCUUGGCGGCCAUGCCCGGGCUGGCCGUUGCCGUCGGCCGAGUGACCCCCACCCUGGGAGGGGUAGGGCUUCGAGUAGGGAGCACGCCCGCCCUGGCCAUAGGGGCCCGAGCGAGUCACGGCAUUGGCGGAGGUAGUCCACCCCUCCGACACACUCUGCUGAGCCUACAACGCUUCGAACGACAAGACGAGCGAGUAGAAACUGGAGUAGGGCAUUGGUGCGUUACUCACACCCAGGGAGGCGGUGAUGGAGUUGUAGGCGGAGCCGAGUCCGGUGAGGAUGUGAUCAAUGAGCUCGUCAUCAUGAAUCGGAGAGCCGGCGGCAGCCAUGGUGUCGGCGAGGGCCUUCAUCUUGUGCAUGUACUCAGCCGCGGACAUCUCCUCCUUCCGCAGCGUCUGGAGUUGAUGCCGGAUGUGAAGGACGUUGGCACGACUCUACGCGCCGUACAUGGCACUGACCGCCGUCCAUACCGCCUGCGCCGUCUCGCAUCUGAUGAGCCGACAGGCGAUGUCCUCCUCCAUGGAGGUAAGAAGGAGGCCCUUGACCAUCUGAUCCUGAGUCCACCAAUGAUGAUACGCCGGAUUAGCGGCGGUCGUCGCGGCAUCGCCAUCCCGACAGCGAUAGUCUUGUCGGGUGCCGCCGUGGUGCCGUCCAGGUAGCCAUGGAGGUUGGCGUCGGCUAAGACGGUGCUGGCGAUGCCUCCCACAGCAUGAAGUUGUGGCGGCCAAGGCGAACGGAGAUCGCCGGAACAGCGAGGGCGGCGGGAACGGUGGCAGCCGCUGGCGAGGUGAUGGUGCCGACAAUGUUGGAGAGUGAAAGGGCGGCGGACGACAUCGCGACGGCGCGGAGGAGGACAGCGCGCGGCGGCGGAGAAGAAACUCACGGCGGCGCGAAAGGGCGGCACGCGGCGGCGGUGGCGGAUGGAUCGGGCGACGCGUACUGUUCGCGCGGCGGCCGUGUGGCUAGCUAGCAAGCAGGUUGAUGGAUCCUGCGUAUGUGCGUGGCUAGCUAGCAAGCUUGAUGGAUCCUGCAUAUGUGCGUAGCUAGCUAGCAAGCAGCGGCGGCUACGCGGAAGCUAGCUAGCAAGCAGCGGCGGCGACGCAGUAGAUGGGAUCGGGCGGCGACACGAGGGACGUGCGGCGGCGGCCCGACCUGGCUGAUACCAAGUUGAAGAGGUAGGUAGGGUUUUGCGUGGGUGGUUAACAUCCAGCCUCACGUCUCUUUAUAUAGAUGAUCAUAAUACAAUUACAUACGUAUACAAAUACGUGUACAUGUACAAUAUGCUAGACCCUAUUUUACAGUAUUUGGCGGAUAAGAAGGAUGACAAGAUGAGCAAAGGUAUAUGUGAUAUACAUGUUAUUGAUGUGUACUUUACUAGUGUUUAUAGCAACCCCUCGGGAUUUGAUACUUGUUCAGUUGCUAAGAGUAGUAACUCGAAACGGGAGUUGCAGAAUAAACAGAAACUAGUUAAGGGCGAGGUGACGAUGUGUGUUGGAAGUAGUUCCAAGAUUGAUAUGAUCAUCAUGGCACACUCCCUAUACUUUCGGGAUUAGUGUUGAACCUAAAUAAGUGUUAUUUGGUGUUUGCGUUGAGCAUGAAUAUGAUUUGAUCAUGUUUAUUGCAAUACGGUUAUUCAUUUAAGUUAGAGAAUAAUUGUUGUUCUGUUUACAUGAAUAAAACCUUCUAUGGUCAUACACCCAAUGAAAAUGGUUUGUUGGAUCUCGAUCAUAGUGAUACACAUAUUCAUCAUAUUGAAGCCAAAAGAUGCAAAGUUAAUAAUUAUAGUGCAACUUAUUUAUGGCACUGCCGUUUAGGUCAUAUUGGUGUAAAGCGCAUGAAGAAACUCCAUGCUGAUGGGAUUUUGGAAUCACUUGAUUAUGAAUCACUUGAUGCUUGCGAACCAUGCCUUAUGGGUAAGAUGACUAAGACUCCGUUCUCCGGAACAAUGGAGCGAGCAACAGAUUUGUUGGAAAUCAUACAUACUGAUGUAUGUGGUCUGAUGAAUACUGAGGCUCGCGGCGGGUAUCGUUAUUUUCUCACCUUCACAGAUGAUUUGAGCAGAUAUGGGUAUAUCUACUUGAUGGAACAUAAGUCUGAAACAUUUGAAAAAGUUCAAAGAAUUUCAGAGUGAAGUGGAAAAUCAUCGUAACAAGAAAAUAAAGUUUCUACGAUCUGAUCGUGGAGGAGAAUAUUUGAGUUACGAGUUUGGUCUUCAUUUGAAACAAUGUGGAAUAGUUUCGCAACUCAUGCCACCUGGAACACCACAGCGUAAUGGUGUGUCCGAACUCGUAACCGUACUUUAUUAGAUAUGGUGCAAUCUAUGAUGUCUCUUAUCGAUUUACCACUAUCAUUUUGGGGUUAUGCAUUAGAGACAGCUGCGUUCACGUUAAAUAGGUCACCAUCUAAAUCCGUUGAGAUGACGCCUUAUGAACUGUGGUUUGGCAAGAAACCAAAGUUGUCGUUUCUCAAAGUUUGGGGUUGCGAUGCUUAUGUGAAAAAGCUUCAACCUGAUAAGCUCGAACCCAAAUCAGAGAAAUGUGUCUUCAUAGGAUACCCAAAGGAGAGUGUUGGGUACACCUUCUAUCACAGAUCCGAAGGCAAGACAUUCGUUGCUAAGAAAUGGAUCCUUUCUAGAGAAGGAGUUUCUCUCGAAAUAUGUGAGUGGGAUGAAGGUAGAACUUGAUGAGGUAAUUGUACGUUCUCUUGAAUUGGAAAUUAUUUUUUCACUGAAAUCAGUUCAAGUGAUGCUUACACCAAUUAGUGAGGAAGUUAAUGAUGAUGAUCAUGAAGCUUUGGAUCAAGUUACUACCGAACCUCGUAGGUUAACCAGAGUACGUUCCGCACCAGAGUGGUAUGGUAAUCAUAUUCUGGAGGUCAUGUUACUUGACCACGACGAACCUACGAACUAUGAGGAAGCGAUGAUGAGCCCAGAUUCCGCGAAAUGUCUUGAGGCCAUGAAAUCUGAGAUGGGAUCCAUGUAUGAAAACAAAGUGUGGACUUUGGUUGACUUGCCCGAUGAUCGGCAAGCCAUAGAAAAUAAAUGGAUCUUCAAGAGGAGGACGAACACUGAUAGUAGUGUUACUAUCUACAAAGCUAGACUUGUCGAAAAAGGUUUUUGAAAAAGUUCAAGGUGUUGACUACGAUGAGAUUUUCUCACUCCUAGCGAUGCUUAAGUCUGUCUGAAUCAUGUUAGCAAAUUGCCACAUUUUAUGAAAUCUGGCAAAUGGAUGUCAAAACUACAUUCCUUAAUGGAUUUCUUAAAGAAGAGUUGUAUAUGAUGCAACCAGAAGGUUUUGUCGAUCCUAAAGGUGCUAACAAAAUGUGCAAGCUCCAGCGAUCCAUCCAUGGACUGGUGCAAAGCAUCUCAGAGUUGGAAUAUAUGCUUUGAUGAGUUGAUCAAAGCAUAUAGUUUUAUAUAGACUUGAGAUGAAGCCUGUAUUUACAAGAAAGUGAGUGGGAGCACUACAACAUUUCUGAUAAAUAUAUGUGAAUGACAUAUUGUUGAUCGGAAAUAAUGUAGAAUUUUCUGGAAAGCAUAAAGGAGUAUUUGAAAUGAGUUUUUUCAAAGAAAGACCUCGGUGAAGCUGCUUACAUAUUGAGCAUCAAGAUCUAUAGCAAUAGAUCAAGACGCUUGAUAAGUUUUUUCAAUGAGUACGUACCUUGACAAUAUUUUGAAGUAGUUCAAAACAGAACAGUCAAAGAAAGAGUUCUUGCCUGUGUUACAAGGUGUGAAAUUGAGUAAGACUCAAAGCCCGACCACGGCAGAUGAUAGAAAGAGAAUCAGCCAUAGGUUCUAUAAAGUAUGCCAUGAUGUGUACUAGAUCUAUUGUAUACCCUACACUGAGUUUGGCAAAGGAGUACAAUAGUGAUCUUGGAGUACAUCAAUGAACAGUGGUCAAAAUUAUCCUUAGUGGAAUAAGGAUAUGUUUCUCGAUUAUGGAGGUGACAAAAGGUUCAUCGUAAAGGGUUACGUUGAUGCAAGUUUUGACACUGAUCCAGAUGACUCUAAGUCUCAAUCUGGAUACAUAUUGAAAGUGGGAGCAAUUAGCUAAAGUAGCUCCGUGCAGAGCAUUGUAGACAUAGAAAUUUGCAAAAUACAUACGGAUCUGAAUUUGGCAAACCCGUUGACUAAACUUCUCUCACAAACAAAACAUGAUCACAACUUAGUACUCUUUGGGUGUUAAUCACAUGGCGAUGUGAACUAGAUUACUGACUCUAGUAAACCCUUUGAGUGUUGGCCACAUGGCGAUGUCAACUAUGGAUAUUAAUCACAUGGUGAUGUGAACUAUUGGUGUUAAAUCACAUGGCGAUGUGAACUAGAUUAUUGACUCUAGUGCAAGUGGGAGACUGAAGGAAAUAUGCCCUAGAGGCAAUAAUAAAGUUGUUAUUUAUAUUUCCUUAUAUCAUGAUAAACGUUUAUUAUUCAUGCUAGAAUUGUAUUAACCGGAAACUUAGUACAUGUGUGAAUACAUAGACAAACAGAGUGUCACUAGUAUGCCUCUACUUGACUAGCUCGUGAAUCAAAGAUGGUUAAGUUUCCUAGCCAUAGACAUGAGUUGUCAUUUGAUUAACGGGAUCACAUCAUUAGAUAAUGAUGUGAUUGACUUGACCCAUUCCGUUAGCUUAACAUUUGAUCGUUUAGUAUAUUGCUAUUGCUUUCUUCAUGACUUAUACAUGUUCCUAUGACUAUGAGAUUAUGCAACUCCUGAAUACCGGAGGAACACUUUGUGUGCUACCAAACGUCACAACGUAACUGGGUGAUUAUAAAGGUGCUCUACAGGUGUCUCCGAAGGUACUUGUUGCAUUGGCAUAGAUCAAGAUUAGAAUUUGUCACCCCGAUUGUCGGAUAGGUAUCUCGGGGCCCUCUCGGUAAUGCACAUCACUAUAAGCCUUGCAAGCAAUGCAGCUAAUGAGUUAGUUGCGGGAUGAUGUAUUAUGGAACGAGUAAAGAGACUUGCCGGUAACGAGAUUGAACUAGGUAUUGAGAUACCGACGAUCGAAUCUCGGGCAAGUAACAUACCGAUGACAAAGGGAACAACGUAUGUUGUUAUGCGGUUUGACCGAUAAAGAUCUUCGUAGAAUAUUGAUACGUCUCCAACGUAUCUAUAAUUUUUUAUUGUUCCAUGCUAUUAUAUUAUCUGUUUGGAUGUUUAAUGGGCUUUAUUAUACACUUUUAUAUUAUUUUCGGGACUAACCUAUUAACCGGAGGCCCAGCCCAAAUUGCUGUUUUUUUGCCUAUUUCAGUGUUCCGAAGGAAAAUGAUAUCAAACGGAGUCCAAACGGAAUGAAACUUUCGGGAACGUGAUUUUCGGAACAAACGUGAUCCAGAGGACAUGGAGUGGACGUCAAGCAGUCAAUGAGGAGGCCACGAGGCAGGGGGCGCGCCUACCCCCGUGGGCGCGCCCUCCAUCCUCGUGGGCCCCUCGUAGCUCCACCGACCUACUUCUUCCUCCUAUAUAUACCUACGUACCCCGAAAACAUCAGAUACGGAGCAAAAACCCUAUUUCCACCGCCGCAACCUUCUAUACCCGUGAGAUCCCAUCUUGGGGCCUGUUCCGGCGGUCCGCCGGAGGGGGCAUCGAUCACGGAGGGCUUCUACAUCGACACCAUAGCCUCUCCGAUGAUGUGUGAGUAGUUUACCUCAGACCUUCGGGUCCAUACUUAUUAGCUAGAUGGCUUCUUCUCUCUCUUUGGAUCUCAAUACAAAGUUCUCCUUGAUUCUCUUGGAGAUCUAUUCGAUGUAAUCUUCUUUGGCGGUGUGUUUGUCGAGAUCCGAUGAAUUGUGGGUUUAUGAUCAAGAUUAUCUAUGAACAAUAUUUGAAUCUCCUCUGAAUUCCUUUAUGUAUGAUUGGUUAUCUUUGCAAGUCUCUUCGAAUUAUCAGUUUGGUUUGGCCUACUAGAUUGAUCUUUCUUGCAAUGGGAGAAGUGCUUAGCUUUUGGUCCAAUCUUGCGGUGCUCGAUCCCAGUGACAGUAGGGGAAACGAUACAUAUUGUAUUGUUGCCAUCGAGGAUAACAGAUGGGGUUUAUAUCAUACUGCAUGAGUUUAUCCCUCUACAUCAUGUCAUCUUGCUUAAAGCAUUACUCCGUUCUUAUGAACUUAAUACUCUAGAUGCAUGCUGGAUAGCAGUCGAUGUGUGGAGUAAUAGUAGUAGAUGCAGGCAGGAGUCGGCCUACUUGUCACGGACGUGAUGCCUAUAUACAUGAUCAUACCUAGAUAUUCUCAUAACUAUGCUCAAUUCUAUCAAUUGCUCAACAGUAAUUCGUUUACCCACCGUAAUACUUACGCUCUUGAGAGAAGCCAUUACCUAUGGCCCCCGGGUCUAUUUUCCAUCAUAUUAAUCUCCUGUCAACAAGCUAUUUAUGGCACCGUUUAUUUUGCUUUGUUUACUUUUAGUCUUUAUCAUAAAAAUACCAAGAAUAUUAUCUUAUCAUCUCUAUCAGAUCUCACUUUUGCAAGAGGCCGUGAAGGGAUUGACAACCCCUUUAUCGCAUUGGUUGCAAGGUUCUUAUUUGUUUGUGUAGGUGCGUGGGACUUGAGCGUGGUAUCCUACUGGAUUGAUACCUUGGUUCUCAAAAACUGAGGGAAAUACUUACGCUACUUAACUGCAUCACCCUUUGCUCUUCAAGGGAAAACCAACGCAGUGCUCAAGAGGUAGCCAGAAGGAUUUGUGGCGCCGUUGCCGGGGAGUCUACGUACAAGUCAAGACAUACCAAGUACCCAUCACAAACUAUUAUCACUCGCAUUACAUUAUUUGUCAUUUGCCUCUCGUUUUCCUCUCCCCCACUUCACCCUUGCCGUUUUAUUCGCCCUUCUUCUGUUCGUCUUUUCAUUUGCCUUGAUGUCUUACUUGGCUCGUUUGCUCGUUUGGUUGAAUAAUUUAUUGCUAAACAAAGAACCUAAGAUCUAUGGAUCCUCAUCCGCUUGGUAAUCUUUUUAAGAGAUCCAAUUAUGAUGAAUCAAUUUCUAGUGAGUUUUGUGCACUAGAUUAUCUUUAUGAAGUUUUGCUUGAAAUCCGUGAAUCUGAAAAUUGUGAUGAAGUACUUUGUGAAGUGAUUUAUGAUAGAUAUUUGGAUAAAAAGCAUGAUUGCAAUGAUGGAAUUAUAAACUCUAUUAAUGUCAAUUGUGCUAAUAAUAUGCAAUACCAUAAACUUGGGGAUGCUAGUUUUGCUAGGUCCACUACCUGUUGCAAUGAUCAUGAUUGGGGUGAUUUUUCUUAUGAUGUUGAAAAUUUAUUUAAGCCCCAUGAUGAAUAUGAGAUUGAUAAGAGUGUUUGCAAUAAUAUUUAAAGUGGGUUUGGAAGAGUGUCAACUUUAGAUCCCACAUAUUUGGAGAAUGUCCAAUCUUAUGGUAUUUUUGAUAAAAGUGGGUUUGGAGAGGUCAUGACUUUAGUUAAUGAUAAUCCCACUAUUUUGGAAGAGUGUCAACUUCGCAUGCAUGUGGAUCGUAUUGAGAAUAUGUUAUGUGAUAGCUAUUUUGUUGAAUUUGCCUAUGAUCCUACAUGUAAUUAUUAUGAGAGAGGAAAAUAUGGUUGUAGAAAUUUUCAUCUUACUAAAUUACCUCUCGUCAUGUUGAGAUUGCUAUCGUCUCUUUCUUCUUCCUUGCAUAUGCUAAUUUUUGCUUGCUACGAUAUAUUGUUUGCUUAUAAAAUUCCUAUGCAUAGGAAGUAUGUUAGACUUAGAUGUGUUUAUCACGUGUUCUAUGAUGCUCUCUUUUUGCUUUAAUUCUUGUCUUUCAUGUGAGCAUCAUUAAAAUUAUCAUUGCCUAGCUAAAAGGCUUUCAAAGAAAAGCGCUUGUUGGGAGACAACCCAAUAUUUUUACUUGCUGUUAUUCAAUAAAUCUUUGAUCUAGCCUCUGGUUAGAUUUGUUUUUAUGUUUUAAUUAGUGUUUGUGCCAAGUUAAACCUAUAGGAUCUUCUUGGAUGAUAGUUAUUUGAUCUUGCUGAAAAUUCCAGAAACAUUCUGUUCACAAAAACAAAUGUUAAAAAUCACCAGAACGUGAUAAAAUACUGAUUCCAAUUGAAGUAGAUCAAUAAAAAAAUUGUCUAGGUCUUCCUAUUUGGGUAGAUUUUUCUGAGUUCCAGAAGUUUGCGUUAGAUACAGAUUAUUACAGACUGUUCUGUUUUUGACAGAUUCUGUUUUUCGUGUGUUGUUUGCUUAUUUUGAUGAAUCUAUGGCUUGUAAAAGAGCUUAUAAACCAUAGAGAAGUUGGAAUACAGUAGGUUUAACACCAAUAUAAAUAAAGAAUGAGUUCAUUACAGUACCUUGAAGUGGUGUUUUGUUUUCUUUCGCUAACGGAGCUCACGAGAUUUUCUGUUUAGUUUUGUGUUGUGAAGUUUUCAAGUUUUGGGUAAAGAUUUGAUGGAAUGUGGAACAAGGAUUGGAAAGAACCUAAACUUGGGGACGCCCAAGGCACCCCAAGGUAAAAUUCAAGGACAACCAAAAGCCUAAGCUUGGGGAUGCCCCGGAAGGCAUCCCCUCUUUCGUCUUCGUCUAUCGGUAACUUUACUUGGGGCUAUAUUUUUAUUCACCACAUGAUAUGUGUUUUUCUUGGAGCAUCUUGUAUGAUUUGAGUCUUUGAUUUUUAGUUUACCACAAUCAUCCUUGCUGUACACAACUUCUGAGAGAGACACACAUGAUUCGGAAUUUAUUAGAAUACUCUAUGUGCUUCACUUAUAUCUUUUGAGCUAUAUAGUUUUUGCUCUAGUGCUUCACUUAUAUCUUUUAGUUCACGGUGGUGGUUUUGUUUUAUAGAAAUUAUUGUUCUCUCAUGCUUCACUUAUAUUAUUUUGAGGGUCCUACAAAACAGCAUGGUAAUUUGCUUAAAUUGUGAAAUUAGUCCUAAUAUGAUAGUCAUCCAAUAUUAGUAAAAACUUUCUUAUAAUUGCGUUGAAUACUAAGAGAAGUUUGAUACUUGAUGAUUGUUUUGAGAUGUGGAGGUAGUGAUAUUAAAGUUGUGCUAGUUGAGUAAUUGUGAAUUUGAGAAAUACUUGUGUUGAAGUUUGCAAGUCCCGUAGCAUGCACGUAUGGUAAACAUUGUGUAACAAAUUUGAAACAUGAGGUGUUCUUGGAUUGUCCUCCAUAUGAGUGGCGGUCGGGGACGAGCGAUGGUCUUUCCUACCAAUCUAUCCCCCUAGGAGCAUGCGCGUAGUGCUUGGUUUUUGAUGACUUGUAGAUUUUUGCAAUAAGUAUGUGAGUUCUUUAUGACUAAUGUUGAGUCCAUGGCGCACUCUCACCCUUCCAUCGUUGCUAGCCUCUUCGGUACCAUGCAUUGCCCUUUCUCCCUUGAGAGUUGGUGCAAACUUCGCUGGUGCAUCCAAACCCCGUGAUACGAUACGCUCUAUCACACAUAAACCUCCUUAUAUCUUCCUCAAAACAGCCACCAUACCUACCAAUUAUGGCAUUUCCAUAGCCAUUCCGAGAUAUAUUGCCAUGCAACUUUCCACCAUUCCGUUUAUCAUGACACGCUUCAUCAUUGUCAUAUUGCUUUGCAUGAUCAUGUAGUUGACAUCGUAUUUGUGGCAAAGCCACCAUGCAUAUUAUUUCAUACAUGUCACUCUUGAUUCAUUGCCCAUCCCGGUACACCGCCGGAGGCAUUCAUAUAAAGUCAUACUUUGUUGUAGUAUCGAUUUGUAAUCAUUGAGUUGUAAAUAAAUAGAAGUGUGAUGAUCAUCAUUCAUAGAGCAUUGUCCCAAAAAAAAGAGAAAGGCCAAAAAAAGGGAAAGGCCCAAAAAAAGGAAAAUAAAAAGGGGGCAAUGCUACUAUCCUUUUUUCCACACUUGUGCUUCAAAGUAGCACCAUGAUCUUUAUGAUAGAGAGUCUUUUGUUUUGUCACUUUCAUAUACUAGUGGGAAUUUUUAUUAUAGAACUUGGCUUGUAUAUUCCAACAAUGGGCUUCCUCAAAUGUCCUAGGUCUUCGGGAGCAAGCAAGUUGGAUGCACACCCACUUAGUUUCUUUUGUUGAGCUUUCAUAUAUUUAUAGCUCUAGUGCAUCCGUUGCAUGGCAAUCCCUACUCCUUGCAUUGACAUCAAUUGAUGGGCAUCUCCCUAGCCCCUUGAUUAGUCGCGUCAAUGUGAGACUUUUUCCUUUUUUGUCUUCUCCACAUAACCCACAUCAUCAUAUUCUAUUCCACCCAUAGUGCUAUAUCCAUGGCUCACGCUCAUAUAUUGCGUGAAAGUUGAAAAAGUUUGAGAUUACUAAAGUAUGAAACAAUUGCUUGGCUUGUCAUCGUGGUUGUGCAUGAUGAGAGCAUUCUUGUGUGACGAAAAUGGAGCAUGACCAAACUAUAUGAUUUUGUAGGGAUGAACUUUCUUUGACCAUGUUAUUUUGAGAAGACAUAAUUGCUUAGUUAGUAUGCUUGAAGUAUUAUUAUUUUUAUGUCAAUAUUAAACUUUUAUCUUGAAUCUUUCGGAUCUGAAUAUUCAUGCCACAAUUAAGAGAAUUACAUUGAAAAUUAUGCUAAGUAGCAUUCCACAUCAAAAAAUUUGUUUUUAUCAUUUACCUACUCGAGAACGAGCAGGAAUUAAGCUUGGGGAUGCUUGAUACGUCUCCAACGUAUCUAUAAUUUUUUAUUGUUCCAUGCUAUUAUAUUAUCUGUUUUGGAUGUUUAAUGGGCUUUAUUAUACACUUUUAUAUUAUUUUCAGGACUAACCUAUUAACCGGAGGCCCAGCCCAAAUUGCUGUUUUUUUUCCUAUUUCGGUGUUUCGAAGGAAAAGGAUAUCAAACGGAGUCCAAACGGAAUGAAAACUUCGGGAACGUGAUUUUCGGAACAAACGUGAUCCAGAGGACUUCGAGUGGACAUCAAGCAAACAACAAGGAGGCCAUGAGGCAGGGGGGCGCGCCUACCCCCCUAGGCGCGCCCUCCACCCUCGUGGGCCCCUCGUAGCUCCACCGACCUACUUCUUCCUCCUAUAUAUACCUACGUACCCCGAAAACAUUAGAUACAUAGCCAAAACCCUAUUUCCACCGCCGCAACCUUCUGUACCCGUGAGAUCCCAUCUUGGGGUCUUUUCCGGUGCUCCGCCGGAGGGGGCAUCGAUCACGGAGGGCUUCUACAUCAACACCAUAGCCUCUCCGAUGAUGUGUGAGUAGUUUACCUCAGACCUUCGGGUCCAUAGUUAUUAGCUAGAUGGCUUCUUCUCUCUCUUUGGAUCUCAAUACAAAGUUCUCCUUGAUUCUCUUGGAGAUCUAUUCCAUGUAAUCUUCUUUUGCGGUGUGUUUGUCGAGAUCCGAUUAAUUGUGGGUUUAUGAUCAAGAUUAUCUAUGAACAAUAUUUGAAUCUCCUCUGAAUUCUUUUAUGUAUGAUUGGUUAUCUUUGCAAGUCUCUACGAAUUAUCAGUUUGGUUUGGCCUACUAGAUUGAUGUUUCUUGCAAUGGGAGAAGUGCUUAGCUUUGGGUUCAAUCUUGCGGUGCUCGAUCCUAGUGACAGUAGGGGAAACGACAAGUAUUGUAUUGUUGCCAUCGAGGAUAAAAAUAUGGGGUUUAUAUCAUAUUGCAUGAGUUUAUCCCUCUACAUCAUGUCAUCUUGCUUAAAGCAUUACUCCGUUCUUAUGAACUUAAUACUCUAGAUGCAUGCUGGAUAGCGGUCGAUGUGUGGAGUAAUAGUAGUAGAUGCAGGCAGGAGUCGGUAAUACUUGUCACGGACGUGAUGCCUAUAUACAUGAUCAUACCUAGAUAUUCUCAUAACUAUGCUCAAUUCUAUCAAUUGCUCGGCAAUAAUUCGUUUACCCACCGUAAUACUUAUGCUCUUGAGAGAAGCCACUAGUGAAACCUAUGGCCCCUGGGUCUAUUUUCCAUCAUAUUAAUCUCCUGUCAACAAGCUACUUCUGGCACCGUUUAUUUUGCUUUCUUUACUUUUAGUCUUUAUCAUAAAAAUACCAAAAAUAUUAUCUUAUCAUCUCUAUCAGAUCUCACUUUUGCAAGUGACGUGAAGGGAUUGACAACCCCUUUAUCGCGUUGGUUGCAAGGUUCUUAUUUGUUUGUGUAGGUGCGUGGGACUUGAGCGUGGUCUCCUACUGGAUUGAUACCUGGUUCUCAAAAACUGAGGGAAAUACUUACGCUACUUUACUGCAUCAUCCUUUCCUCUUCAAGGGAAAACCAACGCAGUGCUCAAGAGGUAGCAAAUAUGUAGGAGCCAAUAUGAGCAUCCAGGUUCCGCUAUUCGUUAUUGACCGGAGACGUGUCUCGGUCAUGUCUACAUAGUUCUCGAACCCGUAGGGUCCGCACGCUUAAUGUUCUGUGACAAUCGGUAUUAUGAGUUUUUGUGUUUUGAUGUACCGAAGGUAGUUCGGAGUCCCAGAUAUGAUCACGUACAUGACGAGGAGUCUCGAAAUGGUCGAGACAUAAAGAUCGAUAUAUUGGAAGCCUAUAUUUGGACCGGGAUUUUACCGGAGUACCGGGAGGUUACCGGAACCCCCCGGUAAUUGGAUGGGCCUUAAUGGGCCAUAGUGGAGAGAGAGAGAGGAGGCAAGGGCAGGCCGCGCGCCCCCUCCCCCUCUGGUCCGAAUUGGACUAGGAGGGGGGCGGCGCCCCCUUUCCUUCCUCCCUCUCUCCCCCUUCCUUCUCUCCUAGUCCAACUAGGGAAAGGUGGGAAUCCUACUCCCGGUGGGAGUAGGACUCCUCCAGGGCGCGCCAUAGGGGCCGGCCCUCUCCCCCUCCUCCACUCCUCUAUAUACGUGGCCAGGGGGCACCCCAUAGACACACAAGUUAGUCAUUGAUAUUUUAGCCGUGUGCGGUGCCCCCCUCCACCAUAAUCCACCUCGGUCAUAUCGUAGCGGUGCUUAGGCGAAGCCCUGCGUCGGUAGCAACAUCAUCACCGUCAUCACGCCGUUGUGCUGACGGAACUCUCUCGUGAAGCUCUGCUGGAUCGGAGUUCAUGGGACGUCACCGAGCUGAACGUGUGCUGAACUCGGGGGUGUCGUGCGUUCGGUACUUGGAUCGGUCGGAUCGUGAAGACAUACGACUACAUCAACCGUGUUCUCAUAACGCUUCCGCUUAUGGUCCACGAGGGUACGUGGACGACACUCUCCCCUCUCGUUGCUAUGCAUCACCAUAAUCUUUCGUGUGCGUAGGAUUUUUUUUUGAAAUUACUACGUUCCCCAACAUAUGCCCUGCAUCGUCCCCUAGCAGGUCGACUCGGGCGGCGGCCAUCAACUUCUAGUCAACGUCCCUCCCUGCUCCGCUCCUCCUCCUUGCCUCCAUCGGUAGCCAUUGCCGGAUAGAACCCGCGAGUGGUGGUGGUGGCGAGGAAACUCGGCUGGUCCCCUCUUCGUGGUGGUUGCUGGUACACCGACGGUGAUGGAUGCCGGAGAUAGGGCUCCUAGGCGGCGGCCCCUCUUCGAGGUGAUGGCACCUGCGGUGGGCUUGCAGGCUGCACAUGGAGCCGCCGCAGCGGCAGCGAUGGGGCUUGGAGUCGCCGGAUCUAGCUAGGAGUGGCAGGUCCCCGUCUCAUGCCAUGGUUGGCGUCUCGCCAAUUCGGGCCUCAAUGGUUCCGGCUGGCACAAUGCGACGUCAAUGAACUUUGUUUGUAGUCUGGAUCGAGAGGAGGGCGGCAUGGGGGAUGCUGGCUUCGGCAUAAUAAUGGCGGUUUGGCCCUAGUGCUCUUCUUCCUCCAAGUCGUCUUUCUGCCAGAUGUCGACCUCUUGGAUCUGGCCGCUGAAAAAUUCCGGUCUUCCCCGGCGCAGAUCUAUACGGCUUGCGUAUGUCGUCCCUGGAUAUCUAGAUCGGUAAGCCUCCGGUCGCGCGCGCUCAUAUUAUCAGCCAGCACAGCCUCAAGAGGGCAUGGUGUGAAGCUUCGAUUUCUUAUCGGUUUCAUGGGACAUGUGUAAGUCAAAAUUCCCAAGGCAUUGAUAGAGGUGGAGAAAAUCAUGGCGGCUGCGGUUAGAGGUCUUGAAGCUUUGGUGCGAGGGUGUAUUGGAUGCGAUGAAGACUGUGUGCUAGGUAUUUGGUGACUUGCAACAGCGGCCUCGGCAGGCGGGGUCAGCAACACUGGAGACUGCAUUUUGGUGGAGCUCCUCGAGUACCGAUACCAAAUUCCCAGGGUGAAACCCCAAGGUUUGGCCUUUAUUGGUUGUACUUGGAUGGCCUUGUUGAUGGAAUUGUUUUUGGAGGGUGAAAACUCAAGAUCUUCACUCGGGCAACGACAAUGCUUGUUACAAAAUUGCUUUUGGAGAACCUCUUCCGUAAUCUGGGUGUUGUCUUCGGUGGUGGGUGUUGUUUUCGGUGGUGGCUAGUCAUUGAUUAUUGUGGGGCUUCUUUUUUCUUCUAUUCUUUUUAUAUUCUUUUUUGGCCGCAUGUAUUUGUAAUGCCUUUGGACAUCUGGUUGAUACAGAGGCCAGGUGUAAUUUAUAUAUUCCCUUGGUAAAAACAAAACAGUCCAUUUAGGCCUAUGUACUGGUAGAACGCGAAAGUCCAUGCGGUCUAGAACGAUUUACUUGUUCUUCGAUGAAAAGUCUGAAACAGCUAGCCAGUGACAACAUAUAGGGAAAACGAGACCAUAAUAGCACAAGUUAAUAAGAAGGUAAACUCUUGAUGAAAAUAUUAAUAAAAUUGCAUCUAAUGUCUUUUGAUCAUAUGGCGAUAAAAUUAUGCAUCACACAGUAAUAUUUUUACAAUAAUCCCGCAUCGGAAGAUUUGAUCCCUUAUUACAAAAUUGACAUCUAGCCAUCCGACGUUCGCUACUGCUGGAAAAUAACGAGCAGGUGCAUGAUCCAUGGCGUUCACAUCGAUGAAUUGGUCCAACGGUAUCUUUGAUAUGAUAUAUGUAUGCAUGUAUAUAUAGGAGUUGAGCAAUGGGAUGGGAGAUUAAUUUACAACUCCCGUGUGUCGAACUUGGCAAAGACGAAGUCGUACUGGCCGCCGACCAGUUUGAGGGCUCCGUUGGCCACAGCCUCCUUUGUUGAACCGGGCAUAACCCCUUUCCAUUACUCUCAUAACGGAAAUACAUCCAGUUCCACUUAGUACCCAUGAAACCUAGAAAGAGGAAAGCGAGUCCAACGCAUCACUGGGAAACCCACGGUGGACACCCGUCAUCGAGCAGUCUACCAUGGGGCGAAAACCCAGUGACACCGGACCAACUACAAGGACCUAAAUAGCUCAGCAAUCCAGCCAUUACAAGACUCAUCAGUUAGGCUGCAACAAAAGCUCACGCAGGAGAAAGAACCCAAUAAAGUUUAAGCAGACCAACAACAGCCUAUGGCACCGCAAGAGAAGCACAACCAAACAUGAGCAGAAUGUCUUGAAUGAAGUUCGGCUCCCAGCUGCAAACGACCCAGCUCAGCUCUGCAUCGGAUCACUAGGCGUCGCGCAGAUCCUCAUCAUGUUCGAAGCGUUGAUCCUUAGAAUCUUAGAUCCUCGCUCCAUAGCCUCCCGAUCAUCACCAUCAGCAUCCCUGCCCAAUAGGUAAGAAAGCCACAUGCAGAGUAUACCGCAUCAAAGGGAGAUCUCAUCUUUUUGAAUUCAAAGGUUUUCUUAUGUCGACUAUUCCACAUUGCCCAUCAAAGAGCAGCUAGGCCAAAGGUACAAAAUCUCUCCCCAUCAGGGAGGAAGGUGUAACACCAAGCAAAAUAUUGCCAAAUGUUGUUAGGGCAAAGAUCCGUACCCAGCACACAGCCCACUAUUCUCCACAUUACUCUAGCCACGGGACAAGUAAAAAAUAGGUGUUGCGAUGCUUCCCUUUCAUCACAGAAGGAGCACACGGGUCUCCCCAGCCACCCACGCCUGUUCAUGACAUCUCUGGUCAGAACAGAGUCCUGAGACAGCUGCCAGAGAAAAAAUUGGAUUUUGAGAGGGAUUUUAGCCCUCCAAAUCCACUUAAAAUUACAUCCAGCUAGGGUUCUCUCGAGGAAGUCAUAAACCGAUUUAGUGGUAAAUUUUCGUUUCUUCCCCAAGGUCCAAACGACUUGGUCAGGGUCGUUAGAAAGAGGCCAUGACCCCACUCUAGCUUGGACUUCUCUCCAUUUAUCAAGAAGAGGGGGAUGCAACCUUCUUCUGAAGAAAUUACCAUCCACAUUCUCCCUAAAUCUAGCCACAGUGGUCUCUUGAUCAUUGAAAACAUUGUAAAGGACAGGAAACUGAGCACAAAGUGGUAGAUCCUCUCCCCAAGGAUCCCUCCACAACCUGGGAAGGUUUCCAGAAUUAAGGACUACUUUUCUGCCAACAAGGUAAAGCUCUCUGAGAUUCAUGAUGGCCUUCCAGAUGGGGGAAUCACCAAAUAUGGUCUUAACACAUGUCACCGUAUCUUUUUGAAGUAUUUUGCCCGGAUAACUUCCUGCCACAACCCUUGUUGUGUUUCCAGCUUCCACCACCAUUUGGUGAGAAGACUAAUAUUUUGCUUGUGCAGGUCUUUCACACCCAGGCCCCCUUCUUCCUUAGAGCGACAAAUUCUGGACCACUUAACCAGAUGAUAUCGUUUCCGUCCCUCGUGCUCCUGCCAAAAAAUCGUUUAUGGUGCUUGUCAAGUUUAGCAAUUACCCCCUUAGGAAGAAGGAACAUAGACAUAUAAUAGUACACUAUACUAGUCAGUGAAGUGUUAAGAAGGAUGAGACNNNNNNNNNNNNNNNNNNNNNNNNNNNNNNNNNNNNNNNNNNNNNNNNNNNNNNNNNNNNNNNNNNNNNNNNNNNNNNNNNNNNNNNNNNNNNNNNNNNNNNNNNNNNNNNNNNNNNNNNNNNNNNNNNNNNNNNNNNNNNNNNNNNNNNNNNNNNNNNNNNNNNNNNNNNNNNNNNNNNNNNNNNNNNNNNNNNNNNNNNNNNNNNNNNNNNNNNNNNNNNNNNNNNNNNNNNNNNNNNNNNNNNNNNNNNNNNNNNNNNNNNNNNNNNNNNNNNNNNNNNNNNNNNNNNNNNNNNNNNNNNNNNNNNNNNNNUCUAGGACUCGCAACAUUUGAGGAAUCUUUCGUCCACAAAAUCCCAGUCUAGGUUGCGGAGGUACGAGAAGCUGACCGGCACCCCCAAGUACUUCAUUGAGCAGUGACCAAUACUACAGUUGAAAAGAUCAGCAGAAAAGGAAAUAGUGUCAUCAUCUCCCCCCACACAGUGAAUCUCACUUUUCAUGAAGUUAAUCUUCAAUCCGGACAUAAGUUUGAACAUAUAAAGUAAAAAUUUCAAGUUGACAGCAGCAUCUUUGUCAUGAUCAAAGCAAAGCACUGUGUCAUCUGCGUAUUGUAAUAUAGCUACUCCCCCCUCUAUCAGGUCAGGUGCAAGUCCAGUAAUCAUUUUCUCUUUUUGAGCAUUAGUAACCAUCUUCGAUAGGGCUUCCACAGCAAGAUUGAAAAGAAAGGGGAAUAUGGGUCACCUUGACGGACCCCUUUGUGGCUAUGGAAUUAGGGGCCUGUCUCAUUAUUGAGCUUAAUACUUAAGGUGCCAUUCUGUAGAAUCUUUUCCACCCAUCUACACCAGGUUGGCCACAGCCUCCUUGACGAACAUGCAUGUAAGUGUUGAGGUUCUGGAGGGACACUUUGACCGCCUCCUGUGGAAAUGAAACAACUAUAGUAAUGAACCGUGCUACAGUGUCAUGAGCACUACAGUGAGCUACUAGUGAGAUAUCGAGCUGACUGUGCAUAGUGGUCACUAUUUGUCGCAACCAGCGACAAGUAGGCGGCCAAAUCCUAUUUGGCACCCUCUGCAUCAGUUACAUGGUUACAACCCCUUCCACCCACCGACGCAUACCCCCUUCGUUCUGGGCUCGUCCAAUAUAUUUACUUACGAGUUUUCUUCUCUAUGUUUGCAGCAUACACCCUAUGUUUGUGGGCCACUCGUAUAGCCCGGUUUUGGGAAGCUUCUAGUUGCUUUUUAGUCCGGUUUUCUUUCUAUGUUUUAUUUGGUUUUCCUUCUGGUUUUGUUUUAUUAUUGUUUUCUUUUUUUAUUUUUUCCAUUAAUUUUUAUAAACAUUUUAAUAUGCGUUACUUUCUUGUUCAAAUAUGUGUAAUUGUUCAAAUGCUUGAACUUUUUCUUUUUUUUUGCAAUUUGUUUUUCAAAUUCAUGAACCCUUUUCAAAUCCAGAACAUGUUUUGAAAUUUUAUGACAUUUAAUCAAAUUCGUGAAAUGGUUUCUGUACUUGUGACCUUUUUCAAAUUUCUUAACUUUUUCUUGAAGUGAUGAACAUUUUCAAAUUCUUGAACUUUAUUCGAACUCGUGAAAUUGUGGAUUAAUGAACUUUUUUAAAAUAUAGUAACUUUUCCAAUUCUGUAAAAAAAAUCAAAUCAACAAAAAUAUUGUUUCACAAACCUUUUCUAAAUUUGUAAACAUUUGUUAAAUUCGUGAUCAUUUCUCAAGUUCGUGAAAAUCUCUCGAGUUCACGAACUAAUUUGCAUUUCCGUGAGCUCUUGCCAAAUUCAUGAAUUUUUUUCAAUUCAUGAACAUUUCUCAAGUUCAUGAACUUUUUGCUAAAUCAUGAUUUUUUAAGAAUUCAUGAACUUUUAGAAAUUUGUUAAAUUUUCUGUUUAAUCUGGUGAUUUUUUGGACUUUCUCGAAAGAUAAUGGUUCACCGGUAAAGCUCUCGACUUGUCACCACAUCAAACAAAAGAGGCGAGUACGCGAUCUCACGUUGUUGGGCCAUCCCCACGAGCGUGCGUGCGAGUGCUGCUUCUCUAGGCAGCGCAAUAAGAGCUGAUGUGGAGGGGAGCUCUUAUUAAUUAGUUGCUUUAGGCACCAAAAAGGUUCCUUGGUGCUCAUUACCUUCAUUCCUGGGCUAUGGCCCAACAAUGCCACUGCAACGGAACAAAACGCGAGCGGGUCGACCGUUCCCCUCGCUUCAGAUCUCUUGCUAGUUGACUGGUGGACCAGUUGACCAGUUGAUUUAAAAAAAACAUAUGUUUUGGACAAAAAAUCAUAAUAAAUCGCUUUGAAAAAAGUUCAUGCAUUUUGAAAAAAGUAGAGAAAAAGUUUAUCGAUUUUGAAAAUAGUUCACAAAUUUGGGAAAAAAUAUCAUCGAAUUUGAAGAAAAGUUCAUCAAUUUCGAAAAAGAAAGUUCAUCAAUUUGAAAAAAGUUCAUUGAAUUUGCAAAAAAUUCCAUUAAACUUGAAAGGAAAAGAUCAUCAAUUAUGAGAAAAGCAUAAUCAAUUUUGAAGUAAAAGUUCUAGAAUUUGAAAAAUGGUUAACGAACUAGGAAGAAUAAAAAGAAAAAAGGGGAAAGGAAAAAGGGAAAGGAAAACGAAAAGUAUAAAGAAGAAAAUAUGUAAAUCAUCACAUCAGGUUUGGUGGCGGGGGUGAUUGUUGUAGCGUACGUCGAAGCAAGAGGCAACUUAAGCUAGACAUGAGUGAUGGGCCGAGAGACAGAGAUGUAUCCCCUUGUUGAGUUUGAGAUUGACCGUCACAUGGUUGAUGGCUCACCAUCGUUCGACCACCUAUGACUAGCCCACAUCUCGUGGCCUCUGUCCCACUACCCUUGGACCACCCGAUUGCUCCCCUAUCCUCGCCAAUCGUUGGCCCUCGUUGGACGAGUGUGACAGUUUUACAUUGGUCUUGAUGCAAAAAUCACAUAAUGGGGUUAGUGAGAUGCGCAACUUGGGAAGCAAGGGCUUCUAUUCAUUUUCACAGUUUAUCACACAUGUCAAUGAUGGCGGGAAUCUACAUCCAGUCUGACAUUGGAGUACUCUAACAAAUCCACCAUCUGUUCCUUCAUCACGAUGAAUGUAAAAUGGUGGUGCGUGCAAUCCCAGUUGAGCUCUCCCUAUAGCACUUGAAGGGGGUUAGCGUCGGCAAAGAAGGACUAGCCAAGGAGUUGCUGGAACACUGUAAAAUGAAUAUCGCUUGAUUUUCCCAGAAGCAAUGGUGUUGUGCAUUGUCUUGCCCUGAUGCCUCUCAUGCUGACUUAUGAUAUAUGCGAGAUAAGCUUAGUCUUUUCAUCUUGGCAGCUCAUGGAUCGUCCACUAAAAAUGAGGAUACAAUUUUGAUUUACAUCACCAUACUUGAACUUAUGACACGAUACAAGUGGUAAGUUAGCACUUCAAGGGUGCAAAGAAAUUUUGCCUUGUUUAAAUAAAGAAAGCAGAAGGACAUGUUGUGUAGAAAUUCAGGUGGUAGCAUUGAAACUCGAAGAAAGCACAAUGAUUGGGUUGAAUUAAUCGCGAUAAAAAGAGGACAUGUUAGCAAUGGAGAGAUAAUCAAAGUCAAGUAGCAACAUUGAGGUUAUAUAAGUUGAAGUGCUAAAUUUUCGUCACUUGUAGAUGUCACCAAUACCAUUCUCGUAUACACCAACACGUAACACAUACAGUCAAAGGCCCAGAUAUGUGAAGCUCUCCGGUGAUGCCACAUGGCCAAUGCAUUUUUGCAAAACGGCCCCUCAAACUUACCAUAAUCAAAUGAGUUGCGGUGUUCGAGCUUGAGACUUCAACUACGCGGGUGCACGAGCUAAUCACUACACCAGAAGGUGCUUCGCAAUUCACAUAGAGGUAGAUAUUUUCUCAUAGUAUAUAUAUAGACAUUAAACGUUGAAAAUGUCACUUCUUCAAACUAAACGCACUAUUAACAUAGAAACAAAGCACUAAAGAUUGAGCUUGCAAACUACAUAGACAACACUAACACAAAACAAACACUUACAGACUAAAUCGAUAAACUAAAUACUAGUAACCUCUCCAUCUUCAAACCAAACACUCCUUGGAGGAUAUUCUCAUAAAAAACAACAUCAAGAUGAAAUAUAAUUUGGUCAUAUAAUAACGACAAAAACAAAGUUCUACCACAUGGUCAUCAACAUAACUUGAUCACCGAGUUAAUAUGAUCAGUCCAUGUUCUUGGCCAUAUAAAAGAUAUCCACAAAAUACAUCAAGUUAAUAUGAUCUACCAUACACUACACAUGUUCACAAAGUACAUCAAUAGGACAACACAAUACAAUAACAUCAAGCAGCUCACUAUAAGAGAAUAUCAAACAUCAUAGGACAGCAACAAAAGAUAGCCUGGAUGAGCUCUAACUCUCAUGUUUCUUCAGUAUAUCCUCAACUUCUAUUUUUCAUUUUAGAUGGCUGGUCUCUUCUUUAAAAGUUCUCUUGGCAACUAUUGAUGGAUGCCAUCAUCGUCAACGCUAAACAAAAAGCAUGCCUGGGCCGCAACCUAGCUUUCAGUUCAGCAGACAAUCACAAAUAAACAAACUAAAUACUAACAAAACAAUGGUACUAAUAUGGGGCAAGCAAGGAUCAUUGACUUGGUCAAUCCAGCAAGAAAUUUAGCCUCCACCAAAGCUCUCUAUUUGUAUAUAGAAGAUUCGAUUCGUGCAGGUUGACCAUCUUCUAACAUCGCCAGUUGUCACCUGCUGCAACACCCCGUUGAUCCAAAAUGCAAAGGGAUCAACUGAGUUUCUAGGUUUUGGAAUUUGGAGGGGAAAGGAAUAUCCAAUUUUACUCUCGCGCUCUAUGAUUUUACCUCUAUGAGAGAGCCACACGAAAUGCCUCGAAGGGUGGUCGGGGGAUUAUGAAAGUUUGAGGGGCUGUUUUGCAAAAAUACAGUGACCACGUGACAACACUGGAGAGCCCCAACGCAUCUAGGACCAUAACUGGGACCAUAUGUGCUACACAUUGGUGUAUACCGGAACAAUAUUGCGGCAUCUUUCAAGUCCUGGGAUGGUUGUGUUAUGCGCCAACAAGUUAAUGCACCAAGUGUAUAAUUUACUCUAAGUUAGCACUCCAAGGGUGGAAAGAAAGAAUACCUUGUAUAAAUAAAGAAAGCGGAAGAGCACAUGUUGUGUAGAAAGAGGUGGUAGCAUUGGUUGAAGAUACUACAAUGAUUGGGCUAAAUUAAUCGAGAUAAAAAUGACAUGUUAGCAAUGGAGAGGCAAUAAGAAGUAAAAUGAACAACAAAGUUGAGGUUUCACGUGGGAAAUCCUUGUGAGAAAAAACUUUGGGCACAUAUAGUGGCUAUCUUCAGAUACUGGGAGAUAUAUUUACAUAUGAAGGGGACACACUAUAUGAGAUGCCAAAUCAUCCUAUAUGGUUUAUAAGUGUUAUAAAUAAAGUGAUGUCAGUCUUUAAGAGUUGAAAACCUAAUCCCUCCAGCAUAACAGACUCGGCUAUGACAAAACAUGGCCUCUCAUCAUAAUGAUCUGGAUCAUACAUAAUAAGAUAUGAGAGGGUGCAAAACGACAAAUGACGUGGAUUAGAGAGAAAUAAUGCUUGAACAAGCAAUGCAUUAAGCACACACUAAGCUAAAAAAUGUGAAGACUAAGUACUCCGUGUUGGGAUGGAGUGUGUGGGUCGCAAAACAUUAUCUGAUUAGGUACAGAGAAUGCAAAUUAAAUAGCGAUGAUCAAGGCUUUUGCGUAACCAUGGCAUUACAAACAUGGCAAUUUGGAGUGCUUUGCCGAGAUUCUCCUACCAUGUGUUGAACUUAUGGUAGCUUUCAAACUCAUGGGACCUAGACAUCUGAUCCGGCUUGUUGCACAUCUAGCUGGUAUUAUUACCAUUUAAAGGGUUGUUCCCCUUCAUUCACGAUGCCAACAAAUAGAACACACUUCCGUAAGCAUUCAACAAUAUGUGUGCUAGAAUAAGUUUGGCAAUGUCUUCCAUGACACGUGAAUCGAUCAUAAAAUCUAUGGUAAAUCAAUUAUCAACAUCUUUUCUAUGAUCACGGCUUUACCAAAAGAGAUGAUGAUUUGGGUAGCUUUAUUGAGUUCUUGGAGAAGUAUCUGAACUAUAUUGAUAUAUGUGUGUGNNNNNNNNNNNNNNNNNNNNNNNNNNNNNNNNNNNNNNNNNNNNNNNNNNNNNNNNNNNNNNNNNNNNNNNNNNNNNNNNNNNNNNNNNNNNNNNNNNNNNNNNNNNNNNNNNNNNNNNNNNNNNNNNNNNNNNNNNNNNNNNNNNNNNNNNNNNNNNNNNNNNNNNNNNNNNNNNNNNNNNNNNNNNNNNNNNNNNNNNNNNNNNNNNNNNNNNNNNNNNNNNNNNNNNNNNNNNNNNNNNNNNNNNNNNNNNNNNNNNNNNNNNNNNNNNNNNNNNNNNNNNNNNNNNNNNNNNNNNNNNNNNNNNNNNNNNNNNNNNNNNNNNNNNNNNNNNNNNNNNNNNNNNNNNNNNNNNNNNNNNNNNNNNNNNNNNNNNNNNNNNNNNNNNNNNNNNGUGGGAAGGUGCAACCGGAGCAGCUAGACAGGGUCCCCAAAAUCUUGGGGCCCCUAAUUUAUCAAGUACUACGUUAUGUACUACUCUCUUCGUCCUUAAAUAGGUGUCUCAACUUUCUACUAAAUUUGGGACAAAGUUGAGACGCUUAUUUUGGGACGGAGGGAGUAUUAGUGUCUAAGCAAGUCACGGCCCAACUUGCUGAUUUGAGCCAAUGACCUAGUUAUGUGAUAGUCUCACCAUCACGGGACAGGAAGCAGUUUGCAUACGCGCGGGCGCACACACACACACCAAAUUCGACACAGUUGCCCCCCAAAAAAAUCGGCUCAGCGUCAACGGCCAAUCAAACCGUUGCAACUUAAUCCUUGGUCUCCUAGUCUCCUCUCUUUGAUUCUUCUCCAGUGGAUUAUCAAUUUCUCAGAAAGAGAGCAUUGAUGGCUAUGAACUGCUGGUUCGUUGCUGCCAUGGUGCUAACUCAAACUUAUAAACUGGGUGGAUUUUAUCGAUUCUCCAUUCUCUCUUUCAUCCCUCCAGAGCAGAGCAACAAUAGUUUCCAUUCGUUCUCUUGGUCGAGGAGCAGAGCCAUCGGGGCCCAAUACACCAUCAUUGCUUCAUGGUCUGCAUCCCUCAACACUAACCAGUCGUAGGUUCUUAUGUCCCUUUUUGUUUUGUACUCCUCUGUUCAUAAGUCAAUUUGCUGCUCUUUCAUGAAUUUUCGCAUCUAGCAUUAUAAUUUUCUGAGAUGUCUAACAAACAUAGGCACAAUUCUAAGAUUAUAACUUUAGUUAAUAGUUCAAAUUAAUAAAGAUUUCUUUUGUCAUGAUUUAUUUCUUUGAGAUUUCACAAUGGUUAAUUGAAAACAUUUAGUUUGUUUUACUGUAUGUGGGGUCUAAAUUGUGAUUUCGCACCGGGUUUCCAAUAAAGCAGCCUUGCGGGUUUCCUCGUGAAGGGGGCAUAAGUGCCACUCUUACCCGAUCCGAAGUCCUACGCUUACACGCCGAGUAUCCCUACUAGGAGAGAAAGGCCACUGCCAUGGCUAUAUAAUGAUGUUCAAGGCCCCGAAAGGGGAACCAAACAAUCACGAACAACCGAGACUGUAGUUAUCAUUGUGUGCAUUUCCUAGAUCGUCCGUCGUAGCCCAUCGAGUUGCUUAUCAGCUCGUUGGAUCCAUCAUCCUGUGUAACCCGGAUUGCACUAUAUCCCGAUUAAACAUGGGCAUACCCCCGUGCCGGAGUGGCCAUGCAAAAGACCAAACUAUAAAUAUAUAUGUAUGCCUAUAUCACAAUCCUUUUGUCUGAAUAUAAAGUGACAUCCCAUGACUACAUAAAUCCCGUAGAACUAUCAUACCAUUUGUGAGGCACCGACGAAAUUAGACUAGACACCAUCCCUUUGUAAAAGGGAAAAAAUAAUAGUUCCAACACAUAAACGUAAAUCACCGACUGUCAUUUUUCAAUGUCGAUGUCAAUAGUCAUGCAAGACCUCAAAUCUUUCAGUUGGGUAUAGUGGUGUUUGCAAUUUUGAUUUUCGAGCAAACUCAUGUCCUUAUUAGUUAUACAAACUCCUGUGUUCAUCUAAGAAAACUUAGGGUUGGCGGGUCUAGAACGAUAUUCUGUUCCUCACAGAAAAAUCUGAAACAGCUAGCCAGUGGCUCACAACAUAGGGAAAGCAAAACCUUAGGAGCUUAGGUCUCAUAGGUAGUCAGUACAGCCAUGUACUGUUUAUACCAUCUAACAGUCCAUAUGCACCUAUGAAUGCGCAGAUCGCAAAGGUCCAUGUCUAGAACGGUCAUUUGUUCGUCCAAGAAAAGUUUGAAACAACUAGCCAUUGCCACACAACAUAGCUAAAAGAAAACCAUAAGAACACAAGGUAAUACGAAGGUAAACUCUUGAUGAAAAUAUGAAUGAAAUUGCAUCUGAUGUCUUUUGAUCACAUGGCGAUCAAAUUAUGCAUCACAUAGUAAUAUUUGUACAAUAAUACCGCAUCGGAAAAUCUGACCCCUUAUUACAAAAUUGACAUCCAGCCAUCCAGCGUUCACUACUGCUGGAAAAUAACGAGCAGGUGCAUGCUCCAUGGCAUUCACAUCGAUGGAUCGGUCCCACGGUAUAUUUGAUAUGAUAUAUGUACGCAUGUAUGGAUCUGUAGGAGAUGAGCGAUGGGUGGCGAGAUUAAUUUACAGCGCCC
rnacentral:lncRNA from 1 species